UACGGGGGACUAAUGUUUGUGACUCAAUUUUUCCUUUAAUAGAGGGAAUACGAGCGUGCUAAGGCUAGAAAGCCAAACUCGUCCAUAUCCCAUAUUCAAGGGGUUAUCCCUAAUCUAAUCAAACAAACGUACUAUCCUAAUUCUAAUUCUUAAAUGAAAUGCAAAUCUAAUGUUAUAUAUCACACAUAGGGGUAAGGAAUAUACAUAUAAGGGGAGCACGGGGUAAGGGAUAUAUAUAUACAAGGGAAAUGUCAUGCAAAAAUGAUAAAAACCCUAAAAGUAGAAAAACAUGCAUGAGAUGAAGUGAUUUUAUCACACAAUCAUGAUCUAACGUGUGACGCCCCGAAAAGUAUGAGUGUGAGAACCCGAAAAUUUUCUAAUUUUCUAGGGUUUAUUUUUUUUUAAAUCGCCCGCCUUUUCUACAUUUUCUUUAUUAGAAAAAUUCUCCAGAUAAAGUUUAUGAGCAAAUAUAGUUUUUAGAUGAUUUUUCUAGUAUCGGUUAGUUUUUGAGAAAUUAAAAGCGUAUUUUGGACGUGGGACCCGCAAGUGCGGUAAAUGCAUUAUAUUUUUGACAAUUUGUUGGAAUUUUGUAUUAAGUGAUAUUAUUUUACAAUGUGUUAAGAUAUUUGUAUUGGAGAGACAAAAAGAUAAGAAUAAAACCCUAAAGGACCAUUUGUCACAAAACCAUUGGACCUUGACUUUUGACCAAGACUUUUCUAACUUUACUAAAACCAAUUUGGACCCAAUUUCUCUCUAUUUUAGCUUGUCUUGGACGAAAUUUUGAGAGAAAAAGAGAGAGAAAAUCCAUUAUCUUGUCCAAAUCUUGAGUUCCAACUGAUUAAAUUGCAAAUCACUCCAUAAAACUUGCUAGCUAAGGAAGAUUGAAGCUCUUGGUGGAGUUGUUUUGGAAGAAAAAUCCCUAAGUCAUCACCUUUCUUGAUAUUUGAAGGUAUCAUGUCUAGCCAUCCCUUCUUUGUUCUUGAUUAUGCUAAAUUAGAGACUUGUGAUGGCUAAAGAGAUGGUUUUAUGGAUUAUUUCUUGAGUUUUGGUUGAAUUGAUGAAGUUUUAUUAUUUUUGGGAAUUUUCUGUUUUCAUAUGGAUAUGAUUAUGGGGUCAUGUAUGAUGAUUGGAAAUGAUGUUUAAGGACUCUAUGAGGUGGAAAAAGUGAUUAAUUGCAACCAAUUUCUGUUUUGGACCAAAAAUUGAAAAGUGAGGGUUUUGUGAUGAACAUUCUGUCCGAAUUUUUAGGUCCUAGAUAGAGGUCGAAUUGGCCUUUUCUUAAAACAUGAAAGUUGUAGGGAAGGACAUUUUAGAGGUGCCUACAAAAUUUCAGGUCAAUCGGAGUAGCGUAGAGUGAGAAAAGUCAAAAUUACUAUUGCUGUUCUGGUUUACCCGAAAUUGGGAUUUGCGACUGUAAUUGGUUGUUUUGGCUGGAUUUGCUUCCGAAUUCGUUGUUGAGGCCUUCUGAUGAAAUUUAUCCCUGUUUCUUACCUUUCAGAUGGUUUUGGAAUUUCUGGAUUUGGACUUCGGUAGCCUGAUCUAUGAUGUUUCCGCUAGAAUGCGUUCUGUGAAUCUAUUUUUGUGAUUCUGGUAUGGUAUCUUGCAUAUUUGACCUGGUUAUACUCGAAACUGGGUUGAGUGACCUUCUGCAAUAUUGUAACCCUAUCUCUUAGCUUCGAAACGGUGGGUCUUGCACCUUCAUCCGAUAAUCGUAGCGCCUUUGGUACCAUUACCGCAAAAUGACGUCAAAACUAUUUUUCUGGUUUUGAGCUUAACUUUCAUUUCCGGACUUUUCCCUAGCUUGACUUGUACUAGUACUACUUGGAGCUUGCUGAAUGGCUAUUGGAUGAACUUGUUGUUGUGUGUGUACCUUUGGGUUGAAAUGAGGAAAUAAUGAAGCCAUGAUGGCUGGAAAAGUUAGCAAAUUCAGGGGAAGUGCUGUCCGAACUUUGAAGGGAUUUGUUUGCAUUGAGUUUGUGAUCUAAGACUUGGAUUUGAGCAAGGCAAUGUUAUAUGCUGGAUGAUUUCUGAGCCGUGGAGGUGAGUGACCCUAAACUAUUUCCAAAGUACUUGUGAAAUAUUUCUUACAUUAUUUAUUCGAUUGCAUAUCAUGCGUGCUUGCAUGUGAAUUCAUGACAUGAUUUGGCUUCAAUGAGUUCUGGGAAAGUCUUGUGCUGGACACCAACGUCUCCACCUUGUUUAUGGUACAUGUUCAUGUUUAUCUGGAGCUCAAAAAGGGGCUCCCUCUCUGUUAAUGUUAAAUGAUCUAUUUGAGCGUUGGAUGUUCAAGUGCUAUGAUUUCCCUGGCUCACGAGAGCACUAAACGAACAUUUGAUCUCUGAAUCAUGACAUCAUCGAAAUGAUCGAAAUGCAACAUUGUGAAAUAUAUUUGUUUAAUGAUUUUACUGGUUACUCGCUGAGCUUCUAGCUCACCCCAAAAAUAUUUUAUUCCCCUCCACAGGGCUCAAGGCGAAGGAAGGGCUUGUUGUGCUUAUUCACGUGUCUGGAUGGCCUAUAUCUUUUACAGUUUGGAUUUGGAAUCAUUUUAUGUAUAGUUUGGGGAAUUGUUUCCGCUUCGCUUAUGACAUGUAAUUUUUGGAGAAUUUGAUGUAUAUUGGAGAUUUAUAUUGUAAUAUUUGAGGUUUAUUCUUAUAUUUGUUUGAGGACUGUAGUGAGCGACUGAGUCCCGGUGAGAGCUGGGCAGGCGGCCCAUCGAACCCUCUGGUUCGCCUUAGGGGGAGGUGGGGCCGUCACAUAAUGCUCGAAGGGCUCCUAAGGGUCUAGCGUUGGACUAGACCACAUCUACAAGUUCUCACCAGCGUUGGACUAGUGGAAAAUCGGAACAAAGAGUCACAACUAGCAUUGAACUAGUGUGGAUUCGAGAAAGGGGGCCACAACUAGCGUUGGACUAGUGUGGUGACGACAUACAUUUGUUACAAUCAAAUAAAUAUUAAAUAAAUCAUGUAAGAUCUAAUAAAAGCAUGUAGACACAUAAUAUCACAUAAACACAUAACACAUAAUCAUGAUAUCAAGAUGCAAGACCCUAAGAAAGCGGUAACACAUAGCACAUAGUCAUGCAAAUCACACAAGUAAGAAAUAAAGCAAAUAAAGACUCUAACUAUUACAUUAGGGAGGCCCUACUACAAUCUAAGGGGGAAGAUGGAAGAUAAAUAAUUAAGCUAAAUACCUAACUAUUACAACUUUGGCAUUUAAAUGCCUUUCAAAUAACCAAAACUAAAUUAAAAAAUAAAUAUACUAAAUUAAAACAAAUAAAGUGACUAAAUAAAUAAAUAAAAUAAAAAUAUUCAAAAAGCAUGCAAUUUCACACAUAAGUUCACAUAGGAGCACAUAGGAUCAAAUAAAGUAAGAAAUAAGGGAUAGGGUGUACCUCCCUUGAGUUGGGGCACUAAUGGAGUGAAAUUACUUAUUUACCCUCCAAAAUAAUAAAAGGGUCAGUGCAUCACUUUAAUCAAUAAAUAUGAAAUUGAAUCAUUAAAAGCAUUUAAAUAACUAAAAAGUCCAUAUUCACAAAAUUAGGAUCCAAUUGAAAGGAAAAGAAAGUUCAAGGGGGGGUCAAUUUGAUUGAUUUUUCACUUGUUUGGGCCAUAGUAGAACAAAAAGGGACUUGGAGGGUUAAGAGGCAAUUUUUGAAAGUUAUUUUUUCAUGCAAGUUCAUGCAACUACGUAGAAGCUUAAGCUUCUGCAACAAACUUGCUGCAUUUUUCCCAACACAAACUUCGGACUUCAGCACACCGCCUUUGAUCAAACUUUUCAGACUCCAAGCUAAACCAUGAAACACAUAACUACCACAAUCCGAACAAGCCAGAAUCUUAUAAGGAAACCAAGCAUUCUUCCCCCCUUUUGGAAUACAAAAUCCAGAAAAAGCAGGAACAUUCAAAUGCUAAAAAAAAAUUCCAGCAACUUGGGUCUAUUCUCCUGGUUCAUGUUUUAUGAUAUAACUUGGGAAAAAGAUUGAAACUACAUGCCAUGUUGACUUCAUGAAUGAAGCGUCAAAACAUGAAUUUAGCUACCCAACUCUAGCCAACGAGACUUUUGAAAAACCAAAAACGUGAAGCAGGAGAGAAUACAAGUCAUGAAAAAGGAAACAUUUUUCGAUAUUUUGCAUAGAAAAAAUUUCAAUGUUUACUCAUUACCUAAGUCCGAACCCAAAAUGCGAAAUCAGUGUUAUACCUUGAGCUAUUGCCUAUGAACCUCAAUUUCUGCAAACCAAAUCUUGCAGCCAAAAGAAAAUUUAAACAAAGUUGAAGUAGCUAAAGCUACAAUACAAUGCCAUUAUUGCGGCCUGGCAUUAUGCCACACAUUUCUGAUUUUAAAUGGCAGCAAGCAUAUAUCAUAACUCACCAUUCAAUCGCAAAAACAGAUCUCAGACAACCAAUUUAGGCCAAAACAACCUCAAAUAGGCUUUUGAGCAAUCAACAAAACUCCACCGAAACACAAGAAAACAGCUACUUGAGCAAAUAAACAAGCAGGAGCAAGGGGAAUGAAGACAGCAUAACAAAAGGCAGCAGGCAUAAAACGCAGCAGGCAACGUGAGGAUUUGCAGCAAUUCUUCAUACCAGUAACCAGGAGAUGAUUCAAUGCAUUUAAAAUGCAAGCACAUGAAACCAGGGAGAGGGGAGACAUCCAAUGAGCUUUCGGACACCGAUUCCCUACUCCUUAUCAUGUAAACAUCAGCUAACAGAUUCCCCUUCCCAUAGGAAACCCAUGAAACCCGUGCUAAUACCACCAAAACUCAGGUAAACACCAUACAUUUCCCACAGCAAGCAUUUUGCCACUAAAUUACAGUCUAGGAGCAGAUUAUAGAAAUAGCACCGAAUAAAACUUGGGCCGUAAACAGGCAUUAACAUUCUUUAGAUGCAAACAAGUAGCAAAAGGACACGGCUUUGGAUGGUAGAAUACAGCAAAAAGGCAAGGAAACAGCGAGAGAGGAACAUCAAAACAGAACCACUCAAAGUUUCAUGCCCUUUUUUCUAGGUCUGCUAGUCAUACGCAUAAAGAUCAGCCAUAAAUACCAAACAAAAACCCCAUUAAAUUCAUCAUAGAACCCCAAACUCCUAUCCCUGAAACCCAGGUCUAACCCCAUGCAUUCUUCAGCCGUAAAACCAGAAAAACGAACAGCAACAAACGAGAAAUUCUGGACCGAAAAUACCUCAGAGAAAAUCUACCGGCGAUGAUGGCGGGCUAAAACGAUGGCAGUUGUGAAGGUUAAUGGCUCCAAUGGCUCCCUUUGCUUCUUUCAGAAACAGCGCCGGACCUCUUUUCCUCCUCGUUCUCACUACCUCUUCUCGGUUGCUCCACUCAGCCGUCACCCCAUACUCUCUUUCUCUCCUUCGCAAACUUUCCUUUCCUCUCUUUUUAUCUGAUUUUUCUUUCUUUCUUACUCUCUGACUCCGCCGCCGCUCUAUUUCUCUUGUUUCAGACUUCCUUCUAGCUCCCCCAAAAAUUUCAGAUCGUUUUCCUCUUCUCGGCUUUUUGUUCUUUUCUUCUCCGCCUCCGCUCACUCUCGAUUUUUCCCCCCUCAAAACCUAGCCACCCCUUAUCUCUCAGCCGUCAUCCUCUCUUCACUCUCUCUCUAUCUCCCAAACUCAGCCGCCUCUCCCUUCUUUUCCUCUAUUUUUCCUUCCUAAAACCCUAGCAUCCGUUCCUUUCUUUUUCUUUUUGAUUUUCUUUUAUUUCCCAAUUGAUCCUAACACUACAAGUGUCUAGACACCUCACCCUCUAGGUAAUGUGUUGUCCAAGACAAAAAGGGACACUUGUCCCAAUGCAUGCCUCCCACUUGCCAUUUUUAUUGUUUUUUUCUUUUUCUUUUUUUCUUUUUCCUUUUCUUUUCCCUAAAAUUUAGUGUAAAAUGCUCUUAAAUCGAUAAAAAUAAAAUGAGAGACACGAAACAUAAACAAAAAUAAAAUAAAAUAAAAUAAAAACCUAAAAUUGAAUCAAAUAAGUCUAAAAAUAAAAAAUUCGGUGUCUACAAUUUGCCCCUCUUUGUCUGAGUUUUGAAAAAAUUUGAGACAAAGAAGUAGACACCAAGUAGUUACCUGGGGUCAUCCGGCUGCAAACUAGUCGAACGACUGGCGCUUUUGAAAUGAGGACUGACCCCUUUAACAAAAAAUUUAAAAUGGGACUGACCCAGACAAGAAAUUUAAAACGCGACUGACUUGAACCAGAAAUUUAAAAUAGGACUUGUAACGCCCCGAGGCAGAAGAAAAGGGAAAAAAUUUCUGGUGAAUAGAGUUUUGUGGGGAAUCCGGCCAGAAGCCGUGCAAAUUCCUUAUAUUUUUCUUAAAAUUCCCUUUUCUUUGACAAAUACCACUUUAUAAUGGCCCUACUACUCAAUCACCCCACAAUAAGUGCCAAUGAACUUGGAAAAUAGGGUUUCACGCUUCGGUUUCAAGUUUGGAGCAAAAUUAGGGUUUUCGCGAUUUUUCGCCGGAUGAAUUUUCGGUACAGAGUAAGGAUUAAUUUUGGAGAUUAAAAGUGACUUUUAAGUGAGAAAUAAUAUGUGACUAGUGGCAAUGAUAUAAGGUUAGUGAAUUGGAAGUAAAAACCCUAGUACGUGAGUUUUUAAGAAAAACGGCGCGAACCGGUGGGUCCCGCGCACUACCGAUUGAACGCAUCGCUGGACCACCAUUUUUCUUACCAAACAAAUUUAUUGAACUUGAGCAAAAUAUCUUCUCUCUUGGCUGCAAGCUUGACCGAAUUUGUGGCUAGGAAAUAACAAGAAAGAAAGAGAAAAAAAGAAAGGUGGUGGUGGCGACAAGUGUCGCCACCUUAAGGCUUCUUGACCCAAGACCAAGACCAUCCAUUUAACUCCAAAACUUAGCAUUUUUCCUCUUCAUUUUGUUGCUGCUGGCCGAGAGGAGCAAGAAGAAAACCACCAAAGGAAAACAUUCCAUUUCUUCUUCAAUCCAACAACUAAGUGAGGAAUCAAACAAAAUAAACCGAUUAAACUUGUUCUUGAGUGAUUAGCUAGUGGUUUGUGGUGAGACUUUGGAAGAAGAAAGUUUGAGCUACUCUUAGUGAACUCUAGUCAAGGUAAGAAAGCUUAUCUCUCCAAAUUUUACUUUCAAUCUUGUUAAAUUAAGCUUAGCAACUUGAUUUUGUGGUGGAAUCAUGGAUGAUUAUCAUGUUUUAGAAGUUUUCCCCUUUUUAUUUCAUGAACUAGGAUUUGGGGAAAUUCUGCCCAAUUUGUUGUAUGAUGCUUAUAUAUUGCAAUUGAGGUUUUAUAAGGUGUUUUGGUAGUGAUUGGAGUGAGAAAUUAAGGAAAGUUCCACUAAAAACUAGAAAUUCCAGAAUCUGGAAAUUUUCCCCAACAUUUUGUCCGAAUUUGUAGCCCUAUCUUAGAGGCCGAAUUGGCCAUAGGUCAAAGAAGAAAAGUUGUAGAUAAUGGUAUUUUAUAGGUGCCUACAAAAUUUCAGCUCAAUCGGAGCAAUGUAGGUCGUGAAAAGUCCAAAAUACCCUUACUGUUUUAAGUAUUUCCCUAUCAGUCCGUGUGAUCAGUUUGUCCAGUUUAUCAUGUUUUUUGACUAGGAUACGUACUGAUUUAGCUCUUGGCCAAAACAUGAAAGUUGUAGUAUUCCGACUUAGAUUUCAAAUGCCUCUAAGAACACCUGAUUCGGACUUGUGUACUCUGAGUUAUGACCAUUACAGUGUUCUGCGUUUAAACAACCGACGAAUUGGUUUCUGGUUUAGUAAUUUGAGAAUUUGACCAAGUUACAUUAGAAAAUGGACUCAGUGACCUUCAUGAACAUUGUAGCCCUGUGUCUUAGCUUCGAAACGGCAUAGUUUAUACCUCGAUCCGAUAAGCGUAGCCUCGGAUAUGUUAUUUCCGCUUUCAUACGUCAAAUCUGUUUUGUGCUAGAUUGAAUUUCUGCACUUGCUAUCGUUGUGAAUCUUAUUAUUAUGAUAUUGUGAGCCUAUGGAACGGCUCUUGUCAUGAAUUGCUGAUAUAUGUGACGUUGGGUUUUGGUUGAGGAAAAAUAAUGAAGCCUAAAUGGCUGGAAAAUUAAGUAAACACAAAGGGCAUGCUGCCCGAAUUUUUACUCGAGAACUAGAAAACUAUAUUUGCAACUUGAGUGAAGGUUAAGUGAUUACCACUUGAACUAGCGAGAACUUUUGCUACUUUGUUAUCGAUGGUUAUACGUUAAAACCUAAACGAACUUGUACUCUUGAGGAAAAGAUAUAAUGGCCAAUGUAAACUUGUAUUUCCUUGUACUUUCAACUCAAGUAUUGUUUCUAAGUAUAUAUGCUACAAAAACCUUAUGAUUUGAAAAGCGAGCAAGUGUUUCACGAAUGCCUUUCAAAUGAAUUUCAAUUGGUUGAUUCUUAUGAACGGAACGUUUAAGUUUCAAAUCUUACUCGUGUUUCAAAGUUCUCAAAUCGGAUUUUUAUCGCAGAUCUGGACUCCAAAUCUGGAGUAUAAUUGAACGUGACUACUUCAGGCACUAUAGUUUGAGUGAGUGAUCCCUCAACUAUUUCCAAAGUUACUUUUGAACUAAUUCUUGCAUUUAUUACUCCAUUGCAUAUCAUUUGGGUUUGGGUGUAUGCCAUGACAUAAUUUGGCUCCAAUGAGUUCCUGGAAAGUCUUGUGCUUAGAACCAAUGUCUCCACUAUUGUUUACACAUUCUUUGGAGUACGAUGGCUCCUUACUUCUGUUUCAUGGUUACCUGAUCUAAACGAGCAUUGGAUAUUUAAGUACAAGAACUUCACUGGCUCACAUGAGCAAUAAAUGAACAUUUGAUUACUGCAUCAUGACAUCAUAUCAAUGCUUUAUUGUGAAAUAUACUUGGCUGUUGAUUUCACUGGUCACUCGCUGAGCUUCUAGCUCACCCCCUAUUAUCUUCUUCUCCCCACAGGGAUCGAAGUAAAGGAAGAACUUGUUUUUGGAUCUUUGUGUGGCUGGAUGGCGUACAUCUUGUAUAGUUUAGUUUUAGUUUUGGUUUGUGUACUUUUGGGCUUGUAUAAAUAUUUGGAAUUGAAUCGGAUGUAAAUCUACAUUUUACGCUUAGAACUAGUUUCCGCUUCGCUUAUGAUAUGUAAUUUUGAAGAAUUGGAUGUAUUAUUUGAGUUGUACCUUGUAAUUUACUUGAGAAAUGUAGUAAGUGAGUGAGUCCCGGCGAGAGCUGGGCAGGCGGUCCGCUAAACCCUUUGGUUCGCCUUAGGGGGAGGUAGGGUCGUUACAAAUGGUAUCAGAGCCCAUAUGCCGACAGUUGGGACCACUAGUCUUCGUCUGGAAAAGCCCCGAAGCCUCUCGUUCGUUGAAGAGUCACGAAGCGAAACUCUCUGUAGGGAGGCCCGCGUGCGGGUGGCAAGCCUGAUAGGUACCCCUGUAAUGUGACCCUGAGAACUGUUACAAUGGUAUCAGAGCUUAGGCUUCAGAUCUUUGUAGUGUAUCCUAGGCUUAAAGUUUAGGAUGCCGGACUGUGGGAUUGGUUUGUACGUUCAGUGCUCUUUUGGAGCGUCAGUUGUGACUCUUGAAAAUGGUACACGUAAGAUAUGACUUGAUGAGCUUCGUUUAAAACCAUAUGGUCUGAGUCGUGAAGUUUCUUAGUUUGAAUUCUUGUACUUGUGUACCUGAUAUUUUUCCUGAGGAAAUGCUCGUGAAUUUUAGACGGAAUAUGGUUUAACGUACGAUGAUGUGAAUAGAAAUUAUGAUUGAGUUUGAGAUAAGUUGUAAUGGCACAGGUUAGAGCGCAGAAGAUUUUGUCUUGUACUCAAGACUUAACUGAAUGAGGAAAUUGAAAUAAUGACUUGGACUUGUCCAAUAAGUGUUGGCUUGGGUUUUGAUACAUUAUGGUGGUGGCUGGAUUGUUGAGAAAAUUUUUGAUUUUGCAACCUUCAUCUAGUCUUCUUGUUUGAUUAAGGAUGGCACCACCCGAUUUGUAAGUGUUGGGAUUUGAACUACUUGAAUUGCCGGAAAUUGACUAGGCUGAGUUCACUUGAGACUUGAACAUUGUUUAGGCAAGUGUGCUUUUACGUACACUUAGUGGUUGUGAUUUGACUGAAUAUAUGGUAUUUCAUUUACGCAUGAGCAAGUAGUUUGGUUUGUAUACGACCUGUAAGUAGACUUGAAUUUGAAUCGGCUAGUGUACCCUUACAUACACUGGAUAGACCUGACCUAACUGAAAACAGGGUAUCUCUUUUACUCUUGAGCAAGUAUCUUGAUUUAUAUAUGAUCUGUAUGUGGAUUUGAGUUUGAUGACUGCUUGAGAGUGUGAAUUACUGGGCAUAAGCUAGGCGAGUGAGUUUCUACUCAUACCCGUGUUCCUUGAACCUGAAAUAAUUGACCCUGCUUUUGAACCGAUAUACUUGAACCCUGCUUUUGACUCUGUUUCUGAACAUUUUCGUACUUGUUUUGUUGUAGACCGGCUACUACUCUUCUGUAGUGAUUGAACAGAACCUCUCUGGUGAGGCAUUGCUUGUUGUGUUUUAAAGCACCGCCAUUCUUCUGGCGAGGCAUGCCUGUUGUGUUAUAAAGCACCAUCAGGGAUGAAAUUCUUGAACUGAACCUCUCUGAUGAGGUAUUGCCUGUUGUGUUUUAAAGCACCGUCAUUCUUUUGGCGAGGCAUACCUGUUGUGUUUCCAAGCACCAUCAGAGAUGAAACUUUGACUUGAGGCUCUCUGGUGAAGUUUUAGCCGUUGUGCUAGCUUGUUGUGUUAUAAAGCACCACCAGGGCCAAUUUCUUGAGCUAAGAUCCUCUGGUGAAGUUUAGCCGUUGUGCUAACUUGAUGUGUUAUGAAGCACCACCAAGGAUGAAAUUUUGAACUGAGGUUCUUUGGCGAGGUAUAGCCGUUGUGCUAACCUGUUGUGUUGUCCAGCACCGCCAUGGACAAAAUCUUGCAUCUGAGGCUCUGGUGAAGUAUAAGCUGAAGUGGCUAGCUUGCUUGUGUUUUUCAAGGCACGCACCGGGUCUGGUGAAGUAUAGCUGAGUGCUAGCUUGUUGUGUUACAAAGCACCACCAGGGGUAAUUUCUGACCUGAGAUAUCGUUAUGUCCUGAAUUGUUUUUCCAAAUACCAGGGACUUUAAGUCCGAUUUUGAGCCUUUUGGAUAUGUAUCCAGUUACUCGUCUGACUAUCAAUUGGAUCAAGAUUAUUGAAUAAGUUGGAUUGGAGUACUUUUAGUACUUGAUCGUGAUGAGUGAUUCUUAGUAUAUGAUUGACCUUUGAAAUACUUGAUCUGAUUAGUAUUUGAUUAUGAUAAGCGAGAUUGAAAUGAUUCUUAAUGCGUGAUUGACUUUCGGGAACUAUUUUGAUCUGAUUAAUACAAGUUGGAAUGUCGAGGACGACAUUCUUUUAAGGAGGGGAGUUUGUAACGCCCCGAGACAGAAGAAAAGGGAGAAAUUUUUUUAUGAAUAGUGUUUUGUGGGGAAUUCGGCUAGAAGCCGUGCAAAUUCCUUAUACUUUUCUUAAAAUUCCCUUUUCUUUGAUAAAUACCACUUUAUAAUGGCCCUACUACUCAAUCACUUCACAUUAAGUAUAAAUAAACCUAGAAAAUGGGGUUUUACGCUUCGGUUUCAAGAUUGGAGCAAAUUAGGGUUUUCGCGAUUUUUCACCGGAUGAAUUUUCGGUACAGAGUAGGGAUCACUUUUGGUGAUUAAAAGUGACUUUUAAGUGAGAAAUAAUAUGUGGCUAGUAGCAAUGAUAUAAGAUUAGUGAAUGGGAAGUAAAAACCCUAGUACGUGAGUUUUUAAGAAAAACGGCGCGAUCCGGCGGGUCCCGCGCAUUACCGAUUGAACGCACUGCUUGACCACCAUUUUUCUUACCCAACAAGUUUGUUGACUUUUGUACAUAAUAUCUUCUCAAAUUGCAGCAGCCUUGACCGAAAUUAUGAGGCUAGAAAUAAUAAGAAGGAAAGAGAAAAAAAGAGAGGUGGUGGUGGUGACACUUGUCACCACCUCAUGGCUUCUUAACCAAGACCAUUAGUAACCAUUUAAAUCCAACACUUAGCAAUUUCUUCUUCAUUUCUGCUGGGUUGGCCGAGAGCAACAAGAAGAGAAACUCCAAGGGGAAAAUCUUUCAUUUCAUCUCCAAAUCCAACAAAUAAGUGAGGAAUCGAGUGAAGUAAACCGAUUAAACUUGUCUUCUAGUGACUAGCUAGUGAGUGGUGGUGUGAUUCUUGAAGAGGAGAGCUUGUGCUACUCUUGGUGACUUUUAUUCAAGGUAAGAGAGUUUAUCUCUCUAAGUUUUGCUUUCAAUUUUGUCAAAUUAAGCUUGGCAACUUGAUUUUAUGGUGAGAUUGUGGAUGAUGAGCAUGUUUUAGUAGUUUUCCCCAAUUUAUUUGAUGAACUAGGGCUUAUGGAAAUUCUGCCCAAAUUAUUAUAUGAUGCUUAUAUGUUGCAAUUGAGGUGUUAUAUGGUGUUUUGGUAGUGAUUGGACCAAGAAAUUAAGGAAAGAUUCACUAGAAACUCAAAAUUUCCAAAAUCUGGAAAAUUGUCUCAACAUUCUGUCCGAAUUUUUAUCUAUAUUUUAGAGGCUGUUUUGGCCUUAGGUCAAAGAAUAAAAGUUGUAGAGAAUGGCAUUUUAUAGGUGCCUACAAAAUUUCAGCUCAAUCGGAGCAACGUAGGAUGUGAAAAGUCCAAAAUACCCCUACUGUUCUAAGUAUUUCCCAGCAGUCCGUUUCUUCAGUUCAGUCCAGUUUAUCACGAUUUUUGACCAGGAUCCAUUCUGAUUUAGCUCUGGGCCGAAACAUGAAAGUUUUAGUGUUCUGAAGUAGCUUUAAAAUGCCUCAAAGAAAACCUGAUUCGGACUUGUGUAUACUGAGUUAUGUCCAUUACAGUGUUCUGCGUUUAAACAGCCGGUGAAUUGGUUUCUGGAGUAGUAAUUCGAGAAUUUGACUAAGUUACAGUAGGAACUGGACUAAGUGACCUUCAUGAAUGUUGUAGCUCUGUGUCUUAGCUUCGAAACGGAAUAGGUUUCGUUUUAAUCCGAUAAGCGUAGCCUCGGAUAUGUUAUUUCCGCAUUUGUACGUCAAAUCUGUCUUGAACUAAAUUGAAUUUCUGCACUUGUACUUCAUACGAUUCUUGUUAUUAUGAUAUUGUGAGCCUAUGGAACGACUCUUGACAUGAAUUGCUGAGUUGUAUAAUGUUGGGUUGUGUUUGAGAAAAACAAUGAAGCCUAAAAGGCUGGAAAAUUAGGUAAACACAAAGGGCAUGCUGCCCGAAUUUUUACUCGAGAACUAGAAAACUAUAUUUGCAACUUGAGUGAAGGUUAAGUGAUUACCACUUGAACUAGCGAGAACUUUUGCUACUUUGUUAUCGAUGGUUAUACGUUAAAAACCUAAACGAACUUGUACUCUUGAGGAAAAGAUAUAAUGGCCAAUGUAAACUUGUAUUUCCUUGUACUUUCAACUCAAGUAUUGUUUCCAAGUAUAUAUGCUACAAAAACCUUACGAUUUGAAAAGCGAGCAAGUGUUUCACGAAUGUCUUUCAAAUGAAUUUCAAUUGGUUGAUUCUUAAUAAACGGAACGUUUAAGUUUCAAAUCUUACUCGUGUUUCAAAGUUCUCAAAUUGGAUUUCUAUCGCAGAUCUGGACUCCAAACCUGGAGUAUAAUUGAACGUGACUACUUGAAGCACUAUAGUUUGAGUGAGUGAUCCCUCGACCGUUCCCAAAGUUACUUUUGAACUAAUUCUUGCAUUUAUUACUCCAUUGCAUAUCAUUUGGGGUUCGGGUGUGUGCCAUGACAUAAUUGGCUCCAAUGAGUUCCUGGAAAGUCUUGUGCUUAGAACCAAUGUCUCCACUAUUGUUUACACAUUCUUUGGAGCCCGAUGGCUCCUUACUUCUGUUUCACGGUUAUUUGAUCUAAACGAGCAUUGGAUAUUUAAGUACAAGAACUUCAAUGGCUCACAUGAGCAAUAAAUGAACAUUUGAUUACUGCAUCAUGACAUCAUAUCAAUGCUUUAUUGUGAAAUAUACUUGGCUGUUGAUUUUACUGGUCACUCGCUGAGCUUCUAGCUCACCCCCUAUUAUCUUCUUCUCCCCACAGGGAUCGAAGUAAAGGAAGAAUUUGUUUUUGGAUCUUUGUGUGGCUGGAUGGUGUACAUCUUGUAUAGUUUAGUUUUGGUUUUGGUUUAUGUACUUUUAGGCUUGUAUAAAUAUUUGGAAUUGAAUCGGAUGUAAAUCUACAUUUUACGCUUAUAAUUGGUUUCCGCUUCGCUUAAGAUAUGUAAUUUUGGAGAAUUGGAUGUAUUAUUUGAGUUAUACCUUGUAAUUUACUUGAGGAAUGUAGUAAGUGAAUGAGUCCCGGCGAGAGCUGGGCAGGCGGCCCGCCGAACCCUCUGGUAUGCCUUAGGGGGAGGUGGGGUCGUUACAGGACUGACCCAAACGAGAAAUUUAAAACGGGACUGACCCGAACGAGAAAUUUAAAACGGGACUGACCUGAACGAGAAAUUUAAAAUCGAUACUGACCCGAGACAGGAAACUUAAAACUGGGACUGACCCGAGACAGAAAAUUUAAAAUCGGGAUCGACCCGAGACAUGAAAUUUAAAAUCGAGACUGACCCGAAACAGAAAAUUUAAAAUCGGGACUGACCCGAGACAGGAAACGGACAGGAAAUUUAAAAUCAGGACUGAUCCGAAUAGGAAAUUUAAAAUCGGGACUGAUCCGAGACAAGAAAUUUAAAAUCGGGACUGACCCGAGACAGGAAAUUUAAAAUGGGACUGACCCAAACGAGAAAUUUAAAAUCGGGACUGACUCGAACAGAAAACUUAAAAUCGGGAUUGACCCGAAUAGGAAAUUUAAAAAAUCGGGACUGACCCGAGACAGGAAAUUCAAAAUCGGGACUGACCCGAGACAGGAAACUGAAAAUCGGGACUAACUCGAGAUAGGAAACUUAAAAUCGGGACUGACCCAAACAGAAAAUUUAAAAUCGGGACUGACCUGAAACAGAAAAUUCAGAAUCGGGACUGACCCGUAACAGAAAAUUCAAAAUCGGGACUGACCCGAACAGGAAACUUAAAAUCGGGACUGACUCGAACAGGAAACUUAAAAUCGGGAAAUUCCAGUACAUUUACCUUUUGAUCAAUUUUUUGCAUGCAACAUUUUCGAUCCGCCUUUGUUCACUGGAGAACUCUUUUCGACACCGAUUCCAAUGCGAGGUGCGAUUGCUUUCAUCUGUGCAUGCAAAUUUCUGCAAAAGAGAAAGAACAAAGAAAUUGCCGCCAUCAUUUGAUCCAUUUUCCUUUGAGAAUCGUGUAAACAUGAGUUUUUUCUCCUUUCGUCAACUUUUGCUGCGGCAUCUGACUUAGUUGGAUUUGUUACUUCAAAACUUUUCUUCUUUUUCCAGACUGACCAUGUAUGCAUUUUGCCAUAUUGUGAAACCUGCGUAGCCGACUUUGCUGAAUCUCAACCAUUUCCAACAAAAUGACUAAAUCCAAGUAUGCUUCGAAUAAACCACAGGGAUUGUCAUUUACCAAAAUUCAAUGAUUAAAAAUGAUGUAUGCAAGGUAAUCUCACAUGUCAUGCAGAAAUGAAUAUGCAAAAGAACACACACAACCAAUUGUGUUUAAGCCUACAAAAUGCCACGAAUGCAAGCAAUUGGGAAAAAAUGAGCUUCAUAAGAAUGUAUUUGCCAAAGAGUAUUUUUUUACAAAGUGACACAGCUUUUGGCCAAUAACUGUCAUAUUUGAAUCUCUGGCUAUCUUUGUUCUCGAAUUCAACAUUGAUAGAAGUUUUACAAGACGAAGAGAAAUCCGAAUGAACCAAGUCACCAACUGUUCCUCCUCGUGCUCGCUCAUUGCAGAACCCUACCUUGGCGCCCUUUCGGGUUUUCACCAAGGUUGCCCCCACCCCUUUUGUUUUAUUUUUCUUUUCUUUUCUUUUUCUCUUGUCUUUUCUUUUUUUUUUGAGGUGCCCUUUCGGGUUUUCACCUAAGGAACAACGGACAAUCUCGACCAUGAUCGACUCAAGAAUAUGAGUUGAAGAUUGCUAGUAUCAGUAAAAUGCGUUUCCCUUAUAAGCUUAGGCGAAGGCAUUGUGGACAUCACUUGCCAGUUGAUUAGAGAACUUCCUAAUAGAAAUACAGCAAGUGACGAAAGCUAGGAUUUUGGGCUUUUGUAAUGAGGUCAGGUGGGGUGUUUUCAAGAAAGUUGAGGCUUGAAAGCAAAAUUUUUUUUUUUUUUAUGAGAGGUGUGAAAUAACCUGAGAUUGCAUCAUUUUGAAGUCAUCUCCAAUUUUGAACGAAACUGAAGAAAAUUUUGCCCUAGUUUGAUUGGAUUUUCCUCAUAUUUUGUCUUUUCUAUUUUUCCUUUUUCCUUUUUUUCCACAAACUAAAUUUUCCCUAGUGUAGGGUUUUCCCUUUCUUUGAUCUAUUUUUCAAAAUAAAUUUGCCCCAGUGUGGGGUUUGCAAUUCUCAGGGGCUGCCAAACGAAAAUUAUUGUUCUGAUAGCUCAAAGGGGAUGACUAGGGAUGAAAUAUUUUGAUUGGAAAAGAAGAUGACCUAACUUUUGUCUCGUCGCUUGCGUAACUUCUAAAAGAAAUUUGCAUAAUCAAAUAAAGAACUUCUUAUACAUGUCUGAGUUGAUAGGUUGAGAAAAUGUUUGUCCAUCCAUCUCUGGCAAAAUGAGUGCUCCGCCAGGUAACACCUUUUGAAUAAUGAAUGGCCCUUGCCAAUUUGGAGCAAAUUUGCCUUUGGCCUUAUCCUGUACUGGCAAAAUUCGUUUUAGCACUUUAUCGCCUUCCUCAAAUGUACGCAAAUGGACUUUCUUGUUGUAGACCCGGGCCAUGCGUUUUUGGUAACAUUGGCCAUGACAAAUAGCAUUAAGCCGUUUUUCAUCAAUCAAGGACAGUUGUUCAUGACGCUGCUUUAUCCAAUCAGCCUCUUCCAACUUGGUCUCCAUUAGAAUAUGCAAUGAACGGAUUUCGGUAGCACAACUUCCAUUCCAUACAUGAGCGAGUAGGGGGUUGCCCCAGUUGAUGUUCGGGUAGAAGUCCGAUAUGCCAUUAGUGCAUAAGGGAGCUUUUCAUGCCAAUCACGGUGCCUUUCAGUCAUUUUACGGAUGAUCCUCUUCAAAUUCUUGUUUGUAGCCUCCACAGCUCCGUUUAUCUGCGGUCUAUAGAUGGCAGAGUUGCGAUGUUUGAUUUUGAACUGUUCGCAUAGCCCGUCCACCACAUCAUUGUUGAGAUUCUUGGCAUUGUCUGUAAUCAAUGUUUCUGGCACCCCAAAUCGGCAUAUGAUGUGAUCUCUUAAGAAAUUCGCCACCACCUUCUUUGUCAUGUGCUUGAAUGAUUCCGCUUCGACCCAUUUGGUGAAAUACUCAAUUGCCACCAAUAUAAAUCGAUGCCCAUUUGAAGCAGGAGGGUCAAUUGUGCCAAUCACAUCCAUACCCCACAUUGAACAGGGCCAUGGAGCAAUCAUGCUAUGCAAUUCGGUGGGAGGAGCGCGUAUGAUGUCGCCAUGCACUUGACAUUUAAUACAUCUCCGGACAAAAUCUCUGCAAUCGCGUUCCAUUGUAAGCCAAAAAUACCCGGUUCUCAUGAUUUUCUUUGCCAACAAAUGUCCAUUCAUGUGAGGUCCACAGACACCGCUAUGCAUCUCUUUCAUCAUGUAUUGAGCUUCAUCUUCAUCGAUGCACCUUAAGAGGUUCAAAUCUGAGGUCCUUUUGUAUAAUACCUCUCCAUUUAAGAAAAACUUCGAGGCCAUUCUACGCAGGAAAACCUUGUCAUUUGCACUAGCUUCUGGAGGAUAAGAUCCGGUUCUGAUGAAUUCUUUAAUAUCAUUGUACCAAGGGCUAUUGCCAGAAGAUUUGUCUAUGACCCAACAAUGAGCAGGCUUGUCUUGGAGUUGAAUCCGGAUAGGCUCGAUUCCUAAUUCGUCCGGAUAUUGUAUCAUAGAAGAUAAGGUGGCCAAGGCAACGGCAAAUACAUUUCGGGCUCGUGGGAGAUGUCUGAAUUCCAAACUUUGAAAUUGUCUAGCCAAUUUGAGCAAAUUACAGUGGUAUGGCAGAAUCUUUGAAUCUUUGGUUAUCCAUUGUUUCAACGUUUGGUGCACGAGUAAAUCUGAAUCACUGAAGGCUAUUAACUCUUUAACUUCCAUUUCCAAAGCCAUUUUAAGACCAAAUAUACAUGCUUUAUACUCGGCCAUAUUGUUUGUGCAGGCAAAUUGCAAUUUAGCAGCUCCAGGAUAAUGCUUCCCUUCCGGAGAUACAAGGACGGUUCCGAUUCCAGCUCCAAAAGAAUUAGCUGCACCAUCGAAAAAUAAUCUCCAUUCAGGGCACCGCUCGCUCAUAUCUUCUACGGCACCAACAAAUAAAACCUCCUCAUCAGGGAAAUAAGUAUGGAGCGGUUGAUAAUCAUCGUCCUUUGGAUUUUCUGCAAAUGAUCGGCUAUAGCUUGUCCCUUGACGGCCUUUUGCGAAGUGAAAACAAUAUCAAAUUCUGAAAGAAUUAUUUGCCAUUUAGCAAGACGUCCAGUUGGCAUCGGUUUCUCCAAGAGGUAUUUCAAGGGAUCAGAGCGGGAGAUGAGAUAGGUGGUGUGACUUAGCAGGUAGUGCCUUAAUUUUUGAGCUGCCCAGGCCAAUGCACAGCAGCUUUUCUCAUUAAAUGAAUAAUUAGCCUCAUACUGUGUGAAUUUCUUGCUAAGAUAGUAGAUGACUUGCUCUUUCCUUCCAGAGUCAUCGUGCUGCCCCAGAACACACCCUACUGCUCCGUUGAGCACAGAUAAGUACAUGAUCAAAGGCCGGCCCGGUUUGGGUGGUACGAGGACCGGAGGCUGCAGCAAAUAAUCUUUAAUCUUGUCAAAAGCUUGUUGGCACUCCUCAUUCCAAUGCAACGGCACAUUCUUUUUUAACAACUUGAACAGUGGCUCGCAUGUCGCGGUUAAUUGGGCAAUGAAUCUCCCAAUGAAAUUAAUCUUCCCCAAAAAACUUUUCACAUCUUUCUGCGUCUUUGGCACUGGCAUGUCUCGAAUUGCCUUGACCUUUACCGGGUCUAUCUCUAUGCCCUUUUUGCUGACAACGAAUCCUAACAAUUUACCAGCUGGCGCUCCAAAGGCGCACUUUGCAGGUUUUAACUUCAAAUUGUACCUUCGCAACCUUUCAAACAACUUUCUUAAAUCAAUCAAAUGGUUCUCGGCUUUCUUGGAUUUGAUUAUAAUGUCAUCCACGUAAACCUCCAUCUCCUUGUGGAUCAUAUCAUGAAACAAAGUAGUCAUGGUCCUUUGAUAAGUAGCUCCGACAUUCUUUAAACCAAACGGCAUUACUCGAUAGCAAAAGGUGCCCCAAGGGGUGAUAAAAGCAGUCUUUUCUCUAUCCUCCUAAGCCAUUAAGAUCUGAUGAUAUCUAGCAAAACAAUCACAAAAGGAUUCAAUUUCAUGUCCGGCAGUGUUGUCUAGAAUGAUAUGGAUAUUUGGCAAAGGAAAGUCAUCUUUAGAACUGGCCUUAUUAAGGUCCCUAUAAUCAACACAGACUCGCACUUCUCCAUUUUUCUUUGGAACAGGGACUGGAUUUGAGAGCCAAAUAGGGUAAUGGGAUACAAUGAUAAUAUUAGUCUUAAGCUGCUUUUCAAUUUGCUCUUUUAUUUUGAGGCUCAUAUCUGGUUUGAAUUUACGGGGUUUUUGCUUUACUGGUGGAAAAGCUGUGUUUGUAGGUAAUUUGUGCACCACUACAUCAGUCGAAAUGCCAGUCAUAUCGUCAUAAGAUCAUGCAAACACAUCUUGAAACAUAGACAAAAAUUCGAUCAUCUCCUCUUUUUGCUUUUUGUUCAAAUGAAUGCUGAUUUGUAUCCCCUUAACCUCAGUCUCAGUGCCAAUGUUAACAACUUUUGUUUCUUCUAGGUUCGGUUUAGAUUUCUCCUCAUAUUGUUCAAGAUCUUUGGAAAAAGAAUCAAAUACUUUCUCACUAUCACUCUCGCUUUGGAAUUCGGAUUCCAUAACUUCCAAGUCGUGAGUGAUAUAGAGAUUGUCAUCGUCAGAUUCCAGAACAGUGAUAUCCAAAUGGUCAAAUAAUUUUAUUUUUGGCCAUCUGAAAGAAUUAAGAAAUUCGAGACAAUAAGCAAAUAAAUACAUAAACGAACAACAUGAUAAAAACAAACUAUGCACUUUCAUAAAAAUAUUUGAAUAAUAAUGCCUUGACAAAUUGACAAUGUUCUUCCAUCCAAAUCGAGCAAAUGCCUCGGACACCUUAUAAUGAUCAUCCACCUCAGGCACAAAAUGUUUUUCAAUUAUAAUCUACUUUGCUAAUCUGGCCUCAUACACUCUUUGUGUGGACCCGAAAAUUUUCUUAUUUUAUCUUCUAUUACUGGCUUAUUUAAAUAUUUAUUUACCCGUAUUCUCCGAAUAAUUUAUUUCAACCAUUUUAAAUCCAUUUACAUGGAACUAUGCCUUACUUAUAUUUUUAAAACAUCUCGUUAGCAAAUUUAAUUUUUGGAAGCUCGUUUAGUAAGAAAUAGCGAAUACACGUUUUGAGGCAAUAUUCGACCUGUGAGUGCUAUGAUCUUGGAGAUUUGAGAAUUCACGCUUUAUUUCUAAAAUAGUUAUUUUUAUGAUUAUUUACCCUAGUAUUAGUUACUUAUAUUAUUGUUACAAGAAUUUCUUUUAAGUUUCGCUUUAUCGUGCGCGAAUUGGAAGUUCGCGUAUAUCGAACCGGAACGACUAAGUGGAGAUUUAAGAAACUAAUACUAGACUACUAAGAGUGAAUAAUUAUAAUGUUAAAGGAAGUACAUUAGAGAUUUAGUGCACAAGUGAAAUAAAUUCGAGAGAAAACAAACACGAAACGCGCGCGCGCGAGUACUAUUCGUAGUUGACUUUUGCUCAAAAUUUUAAUCACAAACACUCAAGCUUCUCCAAGAAGCUUCAUUCAUCAGCUUUCUCUCUCUCUCCUCUCACCAAGACUGGCCAAAACCCUCAAGGGAAGAAAAAGAAAAGCUCUUCACAAUUUUACUUCAAAACUUGCUCCAAAUCCUUCACAAAUCACCAUCCAACCUCAAAAUCAUUUGGAAAUUCACUUAAGCUAGAAGAAAGACUUCAUCUUGGCAGUUUUCUUGGAGUUUUAGUGAUCAAAAAAUUCUGGUUUCUCUCAAAGCUAGGAGGUAACCAUCCAACCUUUCAUUCUUGGCUUUAAUGGGUUUUAUUCUUAGCUUUGAAGCUUGUAGCUUCAUUAUUGUUGUUGUUACUUGGAUUGGAUUGGUUGAUGUGGGCUCUAUGAAUUACCACCUUGGUUGUAUGGGCUGAUAUGAUGAGUUAAUGCUUGAUUUGAGUUGUUUAAGUGUUGGUUAAGAUGGUUAUGAAUAUAGAAUCAAAGGAAAGAUCGAAGGAAGUCGCGUAGGAUUGAUGACCGAAAUCUGUCCUGUUUGUGCCAUGCUUUCAGUUCGAAUUUUUGAUGCUCAAAUGACUUUGAAACUGAUGUAUAUAUGUUGUGUAUGGUGUGUAGAAAGUUUUUACCAAAAAUCAUUUGGAUUGGUUGGAUAAAAAUUGAAUUUUGGCAAGAACAAAUCUGGAAAAUUCGUGUAGCAGUGGUCCACUGGCAGUGUUCUUUAAACGAACAUAUCUCUCUGUUUAGAAGUCGGAAUUGAGUGACGUCAGCGGCAUUCAAAACUAGACAUCCGUAGUUUUCUAACGGUGUAAAAUGAACCUUCUAAUUCUAACUGAGUCAUCUGUAGUGAUUGAUCAAAUUCGGCUACCCUGUUCUGUUAGCCUAUCUGAGAGAAGGGUAGAGGCUGCAUUUUGUGGCUCUAUUUUCUCUCACUUAUGAAUUGAUUUUGAAAAUUAUUUGUUCUGAAAUAUAGCCUUAUGAUUUUAGUUUCCAACGCCACCAACCAUUCUCAAUUCCAAGUUGUAUUGAGUGAGAUAUGGUUCUACUUCCAAACUGCGACAAAACUGGAAAACCCUUCUUUUGGGCUAGCCGCCUGGUUUGGUUGUUAGUGAGGUGUUUUAUUUUGAAAUUUUGAUGCCAACCAACUACCAAUUGUUUAUGAAACAUUUCUUGGAUCUUGGUUUCACAAAUGAACCAAAAUGGGACUGAUUUUAUAGGGUAAAGUGUUUGAAAAGAAAAAGAAAGCUAGAAGGCAGAUUUGCUUUGGGAAAUUUCUUGAAUUUUGGUAGUUUUGUUAACUACCUUCCUGUACGAGUUUUUACAUGAAAUUUGAUAGAGGAUUAUUCCUCAUAUGGAAGCUGAAUUUUACCAAAUUUGGUAUUAUUCUAAGACCAUUUCGAUACCCAAAUGAUGUCCCAAAGUUUACUUUCAAAUCUGGAAAUUCACUGUUUCAUAGUGAAAAUUUACCAACUUUGACCUGCUAUAUUUUGGCACUCAAAACUCUGAAUUUAGUUCCGAUUGUUGUGUUUGAAAAUUUUUUAGAACUCUUAUUGUAGUACAAAUUUCAGGAGGCUAGUUCACUUUCUGUGAAUUUUGCCAAAUUUCCAAAGUUUAUCGAAAAACAUGAUCGAAACUGUCUUGUAUGCUCAAGUCAGCCACUUUGAGCUGAAAUUUGGCUGUCUUUCGUUUAGAAUCUUGGAAAGAUGUCUUCUGGGAACUUUUAGUAUUUUGAACCAAGAUUCCAAUAGUAUAAAGUUUUUCAAUUUUGGACCUACUGAGUGCAAGUUCUGAUUUUUCUAAGUUUGUCGUGCAAAACUGAAAUUUUCCGAUUCAAUGGGAAAUGAGUUUUUGGAAACUCUUCCCUAUCCUUCGAUAUUGAUUGACCGUUUUAAAGUUGAUUUCAUGAAGGAAAUCAGUUUUUUCUUGUGUUAUUAAACCCCAUUUUUGAGUCUCGAUUUAUAAGUAAUUAAGGCUCUCUUUCAUGAUAUCUUCUUAAUAUCGUACAAGUGUACAAUCCUCCCUGUUAACAAGGGGUUUAUAAGUGAUAGUGUGUGAUAGUAAAUUAUUAUUUGUUCAGGCGCUCAAGGGGACCUUCAAAAGGAUCUCGAAGCGGACGUCUAAAAGUUAUUGAGCACUUACUCCCUACUUUGACUUGGUGAGUGUCAAGUGUGUGAAAAAUUGUUACAUGCUUAAUUGUUAUUAUUGAUUGAGUAUUUUGAAUAUGCCGAGUAGAGUGUGUACUUUAUCGCACUCGUUCUCGUUUAAGUGAAGUGUAACUGAGUUGCUUGAAUUGAAUUACUUGAAGUGAAUUGUUAAGUGAAUUGAGUGAAGUGUUACAAUAGUGAAUUAUGCUAUGGUUGCAUAUGUCGUUAGAGUGAAUCUCCUCGACUCCUAGUGAUACUCUAGCCGGCAAGGGCUUGGUCGGGAAGUUUGACGAGCCAUGGGAAAAGUGUAUAAGCUUGAUCUAUUAGAGAGAUCUCACUUGGCAUACUCUAGUAGUAUUGCCUUAUAUAAAAGAAGUGCGGGCCCGAAGCAGAGGGAGUAACGGUGAACGGGGAAAGUGUAAGUGAAGUUCUACAGAUUAUAACCUACCAGAUUGAUGGAGUGUCAACUCGUGGAGGUUCUGGAUCGAGCAAGUGGAAAUUAACUCUUGAGAGCUCCUGUAUCCUUAUCAAGUGUAUUUUAUUGUUAAAUGUGAAGUACUUGAAUGUUACAGCUUUUAUUCUUGUUCAAGUGUUAUUGUUAUUUGAACUACGUGUUUUGCAUGUUUUCUUGGCCUCACGAGCAUCCGCUCACCCCGUUAGAUUUGUUUUCCUUUACAGGAGCUGAACUGGAAGGGAUUAUGGAAAAGCCUUCUUGAUGGCUCUUUUGACUAGAAUUUUGGAAUAUAUUUGUCUAGAUAUCUUUUUGGGAAGUUGUAUAUUUUGGAAAGUAGAUGUAUUUUGAACUUGUGAUGUAAGAUUGAAUGUUUAUGUAUGGAAAUGACUUCGUACCUUUAUUCCGACUUUCAUUGUUAGUAUUAGUCUUUAAGUUCAGACUGGAUUUGUAUUGAGUUCUAACGAGAGUUGGGCAGGCGUCCCGCCGAUACCCUUUAGUUCGCCUUGGGGAGAAGUGGGGGCGUCACACUCUUGAUUUUCAAGGGAAGUGAAUCGUGUGGUAUCAUAUUCUGGGGGCUCUUUUUCUUGACUCGUUGAUUCUUGUUUGCGUCUUGAACAAGGUAGUGGCUCAGGUAAAGAAGAUUCUUCCUCUGAAGAAGGUGUUUUUUUAGGGCUCAAAAAAGAAGUCGUCUCAUGAAUGAUAGUCCGUCUUGUUUGGACCAGGUACCUAUGUCAAAAAAAAAAUAAAUGCUAGGAAAAUAAUCACUAUGAUUACCAAAAUUUUCUAAAAUUCACUUUCUAAAAUUGCCUGAAAUGCACAAAUCAAAGCGGAAACAAGCUAAGAGCAUAAGUGCAAAAAAAUGCUUUCAUUGAACUAUUUACAUAUGCAAGAAAAAGUUUUCAUAAACUUUAGUAAACGACAACCCCCUUUAGAUUUACCGAAACUCCUUUCGUACGAGGAGGUACUCGGCAGUCCAAUUGUGUAUAGUUCCUUCGGGGAUGUUUGAAAAUUCUGCAUCAUCUGAUGGACCAUCUUCGGAUAUUGCUGUGACAGCCCCACCUUCCCCUAAGGCGAACCAAAGGGGUUAGCGGACUGCCUGUCCAACUCUCGCCAGGACUAACGGUUCGGUAUAGAGCGAACUAAUACGAUCCGAAAUUUACAAACGCGCGUAAACAAGUCAAAAUGUCAAAAUAAAACCGGAGUCGGCCAUGAAUAGUAACCGACCGUCGAAACCUCAACCAAACAUCAAGCAAAUAUUUACAUGUUGAAAUUUAGCAGAUACAAUCCAAAGCGGCAUACCAAAGUGAUUCAAAAGUGGAUACAAGUACGAUUUGCCAAAUCAAAAGAGAAACGGUCCCAAAAGUACAUUUAGGGUUUCAAUAAAUGAGCUAUACAAAAGGUAUGUCCAACUAGCUCAAUUCGAUAACCAAUUAUCAAUUGCAGUCCAAAAGUAUUUAUUUUCCUGUAAGGAAAACAAAAGGAAUAGGGCGAGCUAAUUGCCCAGUGAGAUAAUACUACUCAAGCAACCAAGUUCAUAGAUACAUCAAGCUUUUCAGUCCAAUUCAUCAAAAGUAAAUAAAGACACACAUCAAUAAUGAUGAUAAAAGGAUACGGGCGGCUCUCAAGAGCUCUUUUCCUCAUUUGCAUUUUUGAUCGGAUCUCAUUGACUCUCCGUCAAUGUUUAAAAGUAACCAACCGUAGACUUCACUUUACUUCCAUUCCUUCCACCUAACAUUCCCCUACAGGGCCCGAACUCCAAACACUUGCACUGUGGUAUUACUCGAGUAUACCGGAAUCGAGAGUUUCGCAUACUACAAGAUUCCAUAUAACUUUUCCCAAGACUCAUUAAUUGUCACGACCAAGCCCUCGCCGGCUCGAUUCAAUCAACUACCAAUGGGGUUGAGCUCAAUGAUAACAAUCAUGGUCGUUGGAUACUCGUCCAAACGACACCAAGUCAUGUACUUUUAUUUCAUGUAACAUUCCAAUAACAUGAGAAAUAAGUGAGAGUGAUAAAGUACACCCUCACUUCAAUCAAUAUCAAUGGUGCAAUAACAUUUAACUCAUCAAGUUCAAGUAUCAAAGCCAAGUAGUAACACACAAGUGAGUAGUACACUCACCAAGCUCGAAAGUGAUAUUUCAUGCACUUCCGUCAAAGGAACGUCGUGAACCACCGUCACGCCCUAAAACACGCAAACAAGUACAAUGAGACUCGAUAACGAGUCAUAAACCAAUGCCAAAUAUUCCCAAAAUAGGGUUCCAUAAGCACACACAAGCAAUAGAGGAAACCAGAAAAAUCCGGAAAUGGAGUAAGUGUUAACCCGGAAAAAAAAUAGUUUUUGACGUCAUUAUGCGGUAUUGGCACCAAUGGCACUACGAUUAUCGGAUGAAGGUGUAAGACCAACCAUUUCGAAGCUAAGAGAUAGGGCUACAAUAUUACAGAAGGUCCCUCAAUCCAGUUUCGAGUGUAACCAGGUCAAAAAUGCAAUCUACUACACCAGAACCGCAAAAAUAGAUUCACAGAACGCAUUCUAGUGUAAACAUCAUACAUCAGCCUACCUAAGUCCAAAUCCAGAAAUUCCAAAGCCAUCUGAAAGCUAAGAAACAGGGAUACAUUUCAUCAGAAGACCUUAACAACCAAUUCGGAAGCAUUCCUGACCAAAAUAACCAAUUACAGAAGCAAUUCCAAAAUUCGGGUAAAACCAGGGCAGCAAGGGUAAUUCCAUCUUUUCUCAAGUUACGCUACUCCGAUUGACCUGAAAUUUCGUAGGAUUCUCUAAAAUAUUAUUCCCUAAAACUUUCAUGUUUUAACCCAAGGCCAAUUCGGCCUCUAACUAUGAGCUACAAAAUCGGGCAGAAUGUAGAACAUUAAAACCCUAACUUUUCAAUUUUCUUCCAAAACAGAAAUUGCUUGCAAUUAACCACUUUUUCCACCUUCUAGCUUCCUUAAUUACCAUUUCCAAUCAUCAUACAUGACCACAUAAUCAUAUUGAUAUGAAAACAGAAAAAUCCCCAAUAAUUACAAAAUUUCACCAAUUCAACCAAAAUCAAGAAAUAAUCCAUAAAAUUGCAUCUUAUACUACCACUAAUCAUGGAUUAAACAUCAUUAAAGGGAGGAGAGGGGUCCUUCUCAACUUACCUUAGCAAGACAAGAAAGAGGGCAACUAGUCCUCUUACCUUUCCAAAUAACUCCACAAAACAACUCACAAACACUCCCUUAAGGGUUUCUAUGGAACAAAAACAAGAGUAAAUGGUUGAUUUGGUAGAUUGGAGCAAGAUUGGAGCAAACUUGGAGAGCUUUCUUUCUUCCUUUCUUGAGAGAGAGGGCCGGCCACUAGAGCUUGGAAAUGGAGGAAUUUUUGGUAAAUUUUUAGCUUAUUUAGUCAAUUGGUAAGACAUGGAAUAGUAGUCAAAAGUUUCUACCAACCCUAUGGUGACACUUGUCACCAUCAUUAAUUGCUUGCCUAACUUUUGUCUCUCUUAUACCAAUCCACUUAGCAUCCUCUACUUAUCUCUUAACACCCGGUAAAUUAAUUUCAAUAUCCAAAACUUAACCUAGUUGGCCGAAUUUUUCCGAACUUUUCGCACUAGUGGAUCCCACGUUCGAUAUACACUCUUAAUUUCACAUGAACUAACUUAUACUAGAAAAAUGAUUUAAAAACUAUAUUUUGCUCAUAAAAAUUAUCUGGGGAAUUUUCUAAUAAAGAAAAGGUAUAAAAGUGUGCAAUUAAAUAAAAUAAAAUAAAACCGUGUAAGACCAACCGUUUCGAAGCUAAGAGAUAGGGAUACAAUAUUACAGAAGGUCCCUCAAUCCAGUUUCGAGUGUAACCAGGUCAAAAAUGCAAUCUACUACACCAGAACCGCAAAAAUAGAUUCACAGAACGCAUUCUAGUGUAAACAUCAUAAAUCAGCCUACCUAAGUCCAAAUCCAGAAAUUCCAAAAACAUCUGAAAGCUAAGAAACAGGGAUACAUUUCAUCAGAAGACCUUAACAACCAAUUCGGAAGCAUUCCUGACCAAAAUAACCAAUUACAGAAGCAAUUCCAAAAUUCGGGUAAAACCAGGGUAGCAAGGGUAAUUCCGUCUUUUCUCAAGUUACGCUACUCCGAUUGACCUGAAAUUUUGUAGGAUUCUCUAAAAUAUUAUUCCCUACAACUUUCAUGUUUUAACCCAAGGCCAAUUCAGCCUCUAACUAUGAGCUACAAAACCGGGCAGAAUGUAGAACAUUAAAACCCUAACUUUUCAAAUUUCUUCCAAAACAGAAAUUGCUUGCAAUUAACCACUUUUUCCACCUUCUAGCUUCCUUAAUUACCAUUUCCAAUCAUCAUACAUAACCACAUAAUCAUAUUCAUAUGAAAACAGAAAAAUCCCCAAUAAUUACAAAACUUCACCAAUUCAACCAAAAUCAAGAAAUAAUCCAUAAAAUUGCAUCUUAUACUACCACUAAUCAUGGAUCAUUAAAGGGAGGAGAGGGGUCCUUCUCAACUUACCUUAGCAAGACAAGAAAUAGGGCAACUAGUCCUCUUAGCUUUCCAAAUAACUCCACAAAACAACUCACAAACACUCCCUUAAGGGUUUCUAUGGAACAAAAACAAGAGUAAAUGGUUGAUUUGGUAGAUUGGAGCAAGAUUGGAGCAAACUUGGAGAGCUUUCUUUCUUCCUUUCUUGAGAGAGAGGGCCGGCCACUAGAGCUUGGAAAUGGAGGAAUUUUUGGUAAAUUUUUAGCUUAUUUAGUCAAUUGGUAAGACAUGGAAUAGUAGUCAAAAGUUUCUACCAACCCUAUGGUGACACUUGUCACCAUCAUUAAUUGCUUGCCUAACUUUUGUCUCUCUUAUACCAAUCCACUUAGCAUCCUCUACUUAUCUCUUAACACCCGGUAAAUUAAUUCCAAUAUCCAAAACUUAACCUAGUUGGCCGAAUUUUUCUGAACUUUUCGCACUAGUGGGUCCCACGUUCGAUAUACACUCUUAAUUUCACAUGAACUAACUUACACUAGAAAAAUGAUUUAAAAACUAUAUUUUGCUCAUAAAAAUUAUCUGGGGAAUUUUCUAAUAAAGAAAAGGUAUAAAAGUGAGCAAUUAAAUAAAAUAAAGCCUAGAAAUUCGGUAAAUUUUCGGGUCCUCACAAUUGCUCCCACAAACAACUGAAUCAGACUUGUCUCCACUUCAUCAAUUGGACUAAACUCAGAUGUAAUCACUUCAGCUGGCCUUGGAAAGGUAUAGCGUAGUGGCAGAAUGUCUAAAGCACCUUACUUGCCUUCUUUUUCUGCCCUUUUUCGUGCUUUCAUCUCUUGUAUAUCUCUGACAGUUGGGCGAAAUCCUAACCCAAAAAGGCCCCUCUUUUCGAUAAGUUCCACUGUCUUCAAGAUGCCUUGCAGAUUACGGCCCAAUCCCUUAUCAAAUUUGUAUCCUCCGCGAAUCAUCUCCUUGGCCAUCAUAACACUGACCGCUGGCAAAACUAUUUUGUCUUUUGAAACCUCACUUGUUAUCCAACUCACGGAGACAAUGUUGGCUGUACGGUAGGAAGACACUGAAGCAUUUCGGUUACCGUCCUCUUUUGACUUGGAAUCAGCGAUCACAAUGCAAUCUUCUUCGGCAAAAAUGGUUACUAGAUGAUCAUUCAUUACAAACUUCAAUACCUGAUGCAAUGAAGAGGGCACGACGCCAGAACUAUGAAUCCAUGGCCGCCCAAGUAAAAUAUUAUAGACACUGGGAAAAUGCAUGACUUGGCAGGCUAUCUGAAAUUGAGCGGGCCCCAUUUCGACCACCAAAUCUAUUUCUCCUAUAGACUCCCUUUGGGCUCCAUCGAAUCCUCGAACUAUGGUCUCUGAGGGUCUUAAUUUGACACCUUGCACCCUAACUUGAUCAAAGUGUUCCAGGGACAAAUAUUGAGAGCAGACCCAUUGUCAAUCAGUACUUUAGGCAACAUUUUGCCAUUGCACCUCACAGCUAUAUAUAGAGCCUUGUUAUGCCCAGUUCCUUCUGCAGGUAGCUCUUCAUCAGAGAAAGUGAUUUGCUUGGAAGUCAGUACAUUCCCAACUAUGUGCGAGAAAUUGUCGACUGAAAUAUCCUUGGGAAUCUGAGCUUUAGUCAAAACUUCAAGUAACGCAUCCCUGUGCAAGUCAGAGGAAAAAAGCAAGUCUAAUAUGGAAAUUUGGGCAGGCAUUUUGUUCAGCUGUUCGAUCACAUUAUACUCGCUUCUUUUAAGCCUCUUGAGAAAAUCCCAUGCUUCUUUUUCGGCCACAGCGGGUUUUGGAGUCGGCUCAUGGUUGCUUAGUUUGAUUGGGGCGCUGGCAGUGGAUGAACUUGCAAUCUUUCCUGACCUCGUAACAGCAGACACUUCUUCCUUCAAAAUUUGCUUACCCCUGAUUUGCAAAACGGGCUCACUAUAAUUCCUCGGCACUUGUCGUAAACUUAAAACCGGCACUUGUUCUGGGAAUUCAAUUACCACAGGUUCUAAGGCCUCACUUUCAGAUAGAGUUAGGUCUAGAAUGAAGGGCUUUUUGUCUUCCUCGUACGGUGCUUCCUCUAUCUCAAAAGGUUGAUCCAUUAUCCCAAACACUUCUGUCUUAUUUGACAUGCUUCGGACAAGCUCUUCGAAUUCCUUAUUAUCCAUGAUAACUCCAAUAGUAUCGGCGUGCUCCGGCAAGGGGUUCUUGCUCACAUUCAGUCCUUGCUCUUCUUUUUUCUUAAUCACGAUUUCCCCUGCUUCUAACAUGUCUUGAAUUUUAUGCUUGAAAAGUCGGCAAUUGGCAGUGGAGUGACCAGGUGCCCCUGAAUGAUAAGCACAAAUAGCCUGUGGAUUGUACCCAGCAGGCAUGCCAUAAGGGUAGGUUGGAGGGGGGAUCACGCCUAUUUUACCGGCAGCCUUCAAUUGCUCGUACAACUGGUCCAAAGGCCUGCCUAGGUUGGUGAAGAUUCAGGUGCGGUUUUGAUUAUAGGUUCCAGUGGGUUGGGGAUAACUAUAGGUGGAUCUGUUUAGUGGGGGAAAUCGCUGGUUGUAAGGAGGAUGAGGACGAGUUUGUUGAAAAUUUGUUUGAGAUAUUUGGAAAGGGGUUGUAGGCGGGUUGGGGUCAUUUGGGCGAGGUCGGGGGUGGGCGAUAUUGGUAUUGUAGACAGGGUGAGGACUUGGAUAGUAGGGAUAAGGUGGUGAAUACGUUGGGCUGUGUUGAAAUCUGGGUCUUGGUGUAGGGUUUCGGUCCCAAAUAAAGGCAGUUUCCCCCUCUUUCUUCUUAAAAGGUGUCUUUUUUCACAUUGCUCCCUUGUCCUUGCAAAGCUUUCAACUGCGACUUGAGGGCAGAGACAUCAACGAUUUUCCCAGCUCUUACAAAGUCAUCAUACGCUUCAAGCUUAUUGACAAUAGCGGCAAACGAGCAUCCAGCCAUGCGAAAAAUUUCCUCAAAGUACAGCGGAUCAUGUGCCUUAAUGAAGGUGCGAAUGAUUUCGUCCUCAGUCAUUGGUGGCUCGACUUUUGCAGCUAUCUUCCUCCACCUUUUAGCAUAUGUUUUGUGGUCCUCAGAUGGUCUCCUCUUUGUGCCUUCCAAUGUAGUUCGUGUCGGAGCGAGCUCGCAAUUAUACUCGUACAGCCUUACAAAAGUAUUGGACAAGUCAAGCCAGGUCUCCACUUCCUCCGGUUUCAAAUUGGAGUACCAAUCGAGUGCAUCCCCCUCCAGACUUUCCGGGAAUAACCUUAGAGGCAGAUUCUCAUCAUCUACGGGCCUUCCCAACUUGUUAGCAAAUAGUCGGAGGUGUGUUUGGGAUUACCCGUCCCAUCAUACUUGUUAAAUUUAGGGGUUUUCAACCCCUCAGGAAACUGUACAUUCGGAAAAAGGCAAAGUUCAUCGUAAUCCAGGACUCCUUGCUUGUUCAACCCCUGACUCUUCCUCAUAAAUUCGUCAAAACGGUCCAGGCGCUUGAGCAACUUCAUAUCCACAGGAGCAGAAGAUUCUCCUACUUCUGGUUUAGCUUGGACAGUGUGGUCUGGCAGGAAAGGCUCUGCAGUGGUGUGAUAAAAGGUAUGUGGCUCGGGGGGUAUAUUCGAAGUGAUUUGGGGUUGUGGACCUUGCAUGUGAGUAGGAAAGAAUGAAGGAUUAGGCGGGUAAGUGUAUGUCAAAUUUGCAGUGGUAUAGGUGAAGGUUUCUUCGGGUGGAAUAAUGAAGGAUGGAGUAAAAGUGGUUUGAGUGGUGGGUAUGACAAACGAUUCUGGUUCCGGUUGACUGACAGGUGCGGGUUCGGGUUGAACACCACCGCUGAUAAGCUGAUCAAUUAAUUUCCUCUGGGCCGCCAUCUCAGUGGUCAUCUCGCUGAACUUAGCAAGCAUCUCGGUCAGUUGGACCCCCAAAUUUGCAGUCUCAGGUUGAGCUAUAGUGGCGGACCUAUCCAACGGUUCGGGUUGUGAACUCAUGUUUACACGAUUCCUCUGGGCUCGACUACGGGAUCGCGUUAUGAUGGGGUUUCGACGAGAAGCUAUGUUUAAAUAUUACCUGAGAAUUUUGAAAGGAAUCGCUUUUAGAUUUAGCCGUUGCUUAGCUAUUCCAAUAAAAAUAAAGAAAAGGAAAAAGAAAAAGACAAGAGUUAGUAAAUAUCCAAAAAAUUCGGAUGCAUGUCCUAUGGGGGAACCCUUUUGUGCCAAGGGUAGGCCUAACAUGAUGCUAUACCUUCGGGGUAAAAUCCCAAUUUCAAACCUGUAAGUGAAUAUAAAAGCAGGAAUACUCAUUAAACAUGACUAAACUCAAUCCUUCUUUACAAUCUCAUUGAAGAUUCGACUGACCAUUCUUACAAAAUCCUCAUGUCUGGCUAAUCUAGUGUGUUGAGAUUCUCUAGAACUCCCUAUACUAAGCUUCCGAAUCUCAACUUGGAUUUUAUCAAAUGCAUCCAACGCCUUUUCCAAUUUCUCGAUUUUCCUUGCCUCUCUCUUCAAUUGCGAUCGGGCGUCUUCCAAUGCUUGGUCAGCCACCAUAAUCUGUAACUGGUGAUCCUCCAACUAUUUCCUUAGUUUCUCAUUCUGCUCCUCGAGACUAACGGAGACCAGCGGUAACCCUUCUUUUCCUUGUUCCACUAUCGAUUUGAUCCAGUCGUCGUAUUCCAAGGUGACCUUAGGCUCUACUUUAUUCACUUGGUCCAAAUGCAGGUUAUCCAAACUAUGCAGAUUCCUCCAAGCUUCCAGCACUAUACUCCGGCAUUCGGUGACUGUAUUGAAUUCGAUGAUUCCCAUUCCUUGUACGGUCGGUACUCUCUGCGGAUACCCAAACUAUCUCAUAACUCGCUGCGGAACGUACAUAACUAACCCACUGGUGCUUGCUAACGGGAUGAAACCAAGUUGUGUAGUCUUGAAGGCCGGAUCCCUUACUUUCGUCCAAUCAAGAACCCAUUGUAUCUUAUCCGAAAUCAAAGCAUCGAAUUUCUGAAUAAACAAACUCAGAGACUCUAUUCGAUAGUAUCUUUUAACCCUUUCUCGGUGCGAUUCAACCCAAUUUGCUGUUGGAAGACAUGAUCCCAAUGGAUUCAGUGUUCUUUUUGACAGAUGCUCCAUUGCCCACAUUUGAAGUACCAGGUUGGAUGCGUAGAAAAACCCUCUCUUCUUUUGGCAUUCGGUAACAGCGGUGAAGAUGUCAGCAAUGAUAACGGAUACUAGGGUGGGAGUUUUCCCUUUAAUUCCCAAAAACACACUCUGAACCAUGUUGACCGUUGAGAAAAUAACUUUUCCAUGCUUUUGCGGAAACAGAAGUAGAUUAAUCAGGGUUAUUCCAAAGGCUUGCACACGUUUCUCCUCCCACUGCUCUCUACUAAUGAAGAAAUCCUCGUGGUGAUGGUCAUAGGCUUCCUUUUCCCCAAAUCGCUUGUAUAAGAACUCCAGCGGGCAUGAUCUCGCGUCCGGGUGUUGGUUCAUGCUAAACUGUCUCAACCCUAGGAACCUACAAAAUUGUUCUCUGGUGCCAUUCGUUGGGUAUACCAUAGGGUGACCUUUCCCAGGUACUUGCAACAAUCCUUCUAUUUCCUCCAGGGUUGGUGUUAAUUCGCACUCUCCAAAUCAGAAAACGGAGCCGUCCGGAUCCCAGAACUCGAGCAAAGCUUGGAUAAUGGCUACAUUCGGGGUUAUGUUCAGGAGACUAGGUAAAUGUCCUAUAUACUGGAAAAGUCUAUUCACUUCGUGUGCCAUAUUGUUCUUCCAAUCUAUCAGCUCACGAGGUAUCUGAUUUAGCAUUCUACAUGGAGCCAUCUGGGAGGAAAUUCACUUUUAGUACCUUACCCUGGGAUUUUCCCCCUUAGGUAAUACAGAAAUAGUAAACAUGUAAGUCCCAUUGGAUUAAAUAUCCGAGAUAUGUGGUGGCUUAUUCCUAACACGGAAUUCCCUAUGUGACAUUCCCUUUCUAUGGUUUAUGUGUGAUGCCAGUUUAUUAAAGCAGUAAAAUAUGCAAUUUGAAGUGAAACAUGACCUAAGGGACCCUUUAUUUGCCAGGGUAGGCCUAAAAUGAUAUGGCAUUAUUAAUUUAUGAACGAAAUAUACCAAAAUUUCUUAAACGUACAAUAGCCUAUCUACAAGGGUAGGUUCUACAAGAAGAUCAUACCAGACCUUUUAUCUCUUAAUGUUUGUGAAUGCAAAAGGCAAGAAACAAGGAAAGUUAGCUCAACACAUAACACAUUGUGGCAAUCAAAUAAUAAUAAAAUAUAGAAAGCAAAAAAUAAGGUAAGAGGGUUGGAAUCCCCCCCUCGUGCAUAGUGUCCCUAGUUCAGGAUAAGGUCGAUCUACCCUAAGGCACUUCUAAUAUGGAUGCAUGAGGUUUGGCUCACUAAUGCAUCUAGACUCGAUAGGUCUCCAGGUUCCCAAGCCUUCAGACCUAAAGGUGAAGGGUCAUCAAUCCCAGGACCUUUGAUCGGUGGCUUGAGUGAUCCCUUAGGCAUCGCUAUGGGCGCAGUGCACACCAUCCGCCUACCUAAGGAAAUCAAUCCUAAUCCUACAGGGUGGUGUGGGAAACGCCCACGAAAAAGAAAAAAAUAGGGUAAGUAAACUAUGCAUGCACGUAUGAAGUGCUUUUUAUUUUGAGGGGAGGGAUUGUACCAUUAGAUGCGGUCGAAGGUUUUAGGGUAAGUACCCCCCAUCCCAAAAUGCAAUCGCGAAACAAGUAAAGAAACAAUCCAUUCAUCACAUACAUAGUGUGCGAGGAGUGAUUACGCGCGUCGUAAAUGCAACAAACCCUAAAAAAGAGGAAAAAAGGAAAAAGGAAAAGAAGAGUGCAACCUAAUACUCCAAAUAUGAUAUAUGAAAAGGUUAAAAGAAGAAAGAGAUUGACUAAAUCAAAUUUGCUCGGACUCUGUAAGUCCCCAGUGGAGUCGCCAACUGUCGCGCCCCAUUUUUAAAAUAAAAAUGAAAUCAAUAAUGCAUUUUUAGAAAAAGUGAAUUUUGGUUUAAUUUUUGAUUUGAAAAAGGAUUUUUUGAUUUAAAAAAGAAAAUGGGCCUAAAUGGGACUUGUAAUGCGACGACUUGGGCCCAAAUUAUAGUUUAAAAAGGGUUUUUGAAAUAAAAAUCGAAGUCGCCACUUGGUAUUGAGUUAAGGUGUACCAAGUCACCUAAAAAUGAAUUUUGUAAAGAAAAAAUAGAAAAAUCCUUUUUAAACGACUCCAAGUCCAUGAAAAUUAGAGAAAGUGUACGGGAGUCACAUUUGACGAAGGGGAAGGCAAGGAUUGAAAUCCGAAGCACCCCUUCGACCUAGCCAAGGCUAGUUGCAUGAUUUAGUCAAAGAUUUUCUUAUUUUUAACCUAAAAAUUUAUCACAUUUGGAUGUACUAUAUGGAUGCAAACCCUUGACCUAGGAGUGUGUCGGGGGGGCAAAAUAUCUCUUCAAAGUCCAAUUGGUGCCACUCACAUUAAUUGUGAUGCCCAAUGAAGAUUUUUCGAAGAAGUCACGAAUAAUGCAAAAAUAUGAGACUCUAAGAAAAGAAAAGGAAUAAAAGAAUUAUACAAAUAUACAUGUCUUAAAGGAGUGCAUCAUGUCGGGUACGGGAGACUAAUGUUCGUGACUCAAUUUUCCCUUUAAUAGAGGGAAUACGAGCGUGCUAAGGCUAGAAAGCGAAACUCGUCCAUAUCCCAUAUUCAAGGGGUUAUCCCUAAUCUAAUCAAACAAAUGUACUAUCCUAAUUCUAAUUCUUAAAUGAAAUGCAAAUCUAAUGUUAUGUAUCACACAUAGGGGUAAGGAAUAUACAUAUAAGGGGAGCAUGGGGUAAGGUAUAUAUAUAUACAAGGGAAAUGUCAUGCAAAAAUGAUAAAAACCCUAAAAAUAGAAAAACAUGCAUGAGAUGAAGUGAUUUUAUCACACAAUCAUGAUCUAACGCUCGAAGGGCUCCUAAGGGUCUAGCGUUGGACUAGACCACAUCUACAAGUUCUCACCAGCGUUGGACUAGUGGAAAAUCGGAACAAAGAGUCACAACUAGCAUUGGACUAGUGUGGAUUCGAGAAAGGGGGUCACAUCUAGCGUUGGACUAGUGUGGUGACGACAUGCAUUUGUUACAAUCAAAUGAAUAUCAAAUAAAUCAUGUAAAACCUAAUAAAAGCAUGUGAACACAUAAUAUCACAUAAACACAUAACACAUAGUCAUGAUAUCUAGAUGCAAGACCCUAAGAAAGCGGUAACACAUAGCACAUAGUCAUGCAAAUCACACAAGUAAGAAAUAAAGCAAAUAAAGACCCUAACUAUUACAUUAGGGAGGCCCUACUACAAUCUAAGGGGGAAGAUGGAAGAUAAAUAAUUAAGCUAAAUACCUAACUAUUACAAUUUUGGCAUUUAAAUGCCUUUCAAAUAACCAAAACUAAAUUAAAAAAUAAAUAUACAAAAUUAAAACAAAUAAAGUGACUAAAUAAAUAAAUAAAAUAAAAAUAUUCAAAAAGCAUGCAAUUUCACACAUAAGUUCACAUAGGAGCACAUAGGAUCAAAUAAAGUAAGAAAUAAGGGAUAGGGUGUACCUCCCUUGAGUUGGGGCUCUAAUGGAGUGAAAUUACUUAUUUACCCUCCAAAAUAAUAAAAGGGUCAAGGCAUCACUUUAAUCAAUAAAUAUGAAAUUGAAUCAUUAAAAGCAUUUAAAUAACUAAACAGUCCAUAUUCACAAAAUUAGGAUCCAAUUGAAAGGAAAAGAAAGUUCAAGGGGGGGUCAAUUUGAUUGAUUUUUCACUUGUUUGGGCCAUAGUAGAACAAAAAGGGACUUGGAAGGUUAAGAGGCAAUUUUUGAAAGUUAUUUUUUCAUGCAAGUUCAUGCAACUACGUAGAAGCUUAAGCUUCUGCAUUUUUCCCAACACAAACUUCGGACUUCAGCACACCGCCUUUGAUCAAACUUUUCAGACUCCAAGCUAAACCAUGAAACACAUAACUACCACAAUCCGAACAAGCUAGAAACUUAUAAGGAAACCAAGCAUUCUUCCCCCCCUUUUGGAAUACAAAAUCCAGAAAAAGCAGGAACAUUCAAAUGCUAAAAAAAAAUUCCAGCAACUUGGGUCUAUUCUCCUGGUUCAUGUUUUAUGAUAUAACUUGGGAAAAAGAUUGAAACUACAAGCCAUGUUGACUUCAUGAAUGAAGCGUCAAAACAUGACUUUAGCUACCCAACUCUAGCCAACGAGACUUUUGAAAAACCAAAAACGUGAAGCAGGAGAGAAUACAAGUAAUGAAAAAGGAAACAUUUUUUGAUAUUUUGCACAGAAAAAAUUUCAAUGUUUACUCAUUACCUAAGUCCGAACCCAAAAUGCGAAAUCAGUGUUAUACCUUGAGCUAUUGCCUAUGAACCUCAAUUUCUGCAAACCAAAUCUUGCAGCCAAAAGAAAAUUUAAACAAAGAUGAAGUAGCUAAAGCUAUAAUACAAUGCCAUUAUUGCGGCCUGGCAUUAUGCCACACAUUUCUGCUUUUAAAUGGCAGCAAGCAUAUAUCAUAACUCACCAUUCAAUCGCACAAAUAGAUCUAAGACAACCAAUUCAGGCCAAAACAACCUCAAACAGGUUUUUGAGCAAUCAACAAAACUCCACCGAAACACAAGAAAACAGCUACUUGAGCAAAUAAACAAGCAGGAGCAAGGGGAAUGAAGACAGCAUAACAAAAGGCAGCAGGCAUAAAACGCAGCAGGCAACGUGAGGAUUUGCAGCAAUUCAUCAUACCAGUAACCAGGAGAUGAUUCAAUGCAUUUAAAAUGCAAGAACAUGAAACCAGGGAGAGGGGAGACAUCUAAUGAGCUUUCGGACACCGAUUCCCUACUCCAUAUCAUGUAAACAUCAGCUAACGGAUUCCCCUUCCUAUAGGAAACCCAUGAAACCCGUGCUAAUACCACCAAAACUCAGGUAAACACCAUACAUUUCCCACAGCAAGCAUUUUGCCACUAAAUUACAGUCUAGGAGCAGAUUAUAGAAAUAGCACCGAAUAAAACUUGGGCCGUAAACAGGCAUUAACAUUCUUUAGAUGCAAACAAGUAGCAAAAGGACACGGCUUUGGAUGGUAGAAUACAGCAAAAUGGCAAGGAAACAGCGAGAGAGGAACAUCAAAACAGAACCGCUCAAAGUUUCAUGCCCUUUUUUCUAGGUCUGCUAGUCAUACGCAUAAAGAUCAGCCAUAAAUACCAAACAAAAACCCCAUUAAAUUCAUCAUAGAACCCCAAACUCCUAUCCCUGAAACCCAGGUCUAACCCCAUGCAUUCUUCAGCCGUAAAACCAAAAAAACGAACAGGAACAAACGAGAAAUUCUGGACCGAAAAUACCUCAGAGAAAAUCUACCGGCGAUGAUGGCGGGCUAAAACGAUGGCAGUCGUGAAGGUUAAUGGCUCCAAUGGCACCCUUUGCUUCUUUCAGAAAUAGCACCGGACCUCUUUUCCUCCUCACUCUCUCUACCUUUUCUCGGUUGCUCCACUCAGCCGUCACCCCAUACUCUCUUUCUCUCCUUCGUAAACUUUCCUUUCCUCUCUUUUUAUCCGAUUUUUCUUUCUUUCUUACACUCUGACUCCGCCGCCGCUCUAUUUCUCUUGUUUCAGACUUCCUUCUAGCUCCCCCAAAAAUUUCAGAUCGUUCCCUCUUCUCGGCUUUUUGUUCUUUUCUUCUCCGCCUCCGCUCACUCUCGAUUUUUCCCCCCUCAAAACCUAGCCGCCCCUUAUCUCUCAGCCGUCAUCCUCUCUUCACUCUCUCUCUAUCUCCCAAACUCAGCCGCCUCCCCCUUCUUUUCCUCUAUUUUUCCUUCCUAAAACCCUAGCAUCCGUUCCUUUCUUUUUUCUUUUUGAUUUUCUUUUAUUUUCCAAUUGAUCCUAACACUACAAGUGUCUAGACACCUCACCCUCUAGGUAAUGUGUUGUCCAAGACAAAAAGGGACACUUGUCCCAAUGCAUGCCUCCCACUUGCCAUUUUUAUUGUUUUUUCCUUUUUUUUCUUUUUCCUUUUUUCCUUUUUCCUUUUCUUUUCCCUAAAAUUUAGUGUAAAAUACUCUUAAAUCGAUAAAAAUAAAAUGAGAGACACGAAACAUAAACAAAAAUAAAAUAAAAUAAAAUAAAAACCUAAAAUUGAAUCAAAUAAAUCUAAAAAUAAAAAAUUUAGUGUCUACACAAUCAAUUUAUGUCCCCAAGUUACAGGCAGAUAAAAGGAAAACCAAAUUUACGAGAGACGAUCACAAUGCUAAUUCAUUGAAAGCAGUGGUUCUUUGUGAUUUGGGAAAGGAUUCCCUACCUCAAAAUAUUUCUAAUCUUCCAUGCUCGAGCACUGAGACUUGUACUUUAGUUGAUCAAAAUCAAUGUUUUGACCAAGUAACGACAGUUGUAUUUAAUUUGGAAGAGCCGUCACACUUGAACCAAGAGGAUGUGGCUUCUAUGAGGUUGCAAAUAUAUGGAGUUAGAAAGACGGAUGUUACUAACCCGACAACUUGGGGGUUUUCGAUUGUGCCACCUUCAGAUUCACUGGUAACAAGACUGGUCUUAGCUCAAGAGUAGUUGGUUGAUGGUUCUUUCAUAGAUUUGGAUUUGGAUGAUGAGUUGACGCUAGAUGUUAAUAAUAAGUUUGCUCUAUUGGAAAGCUUGCCAGAUAGUAUAGGAGGUGAUUUGGCUCAUUCUUCUUUACUAUGUCAUCAACUUCCUCAGACAAAGUUUGCAGAUAAUUUAUAUGGACUAAUUAAUUCUUUACAUCAGUUGAAGGAGUUCCAACACAACCUUAGCACAAAACUACAAUCUUCAAAUUUUUUGAAGGAUAAUUGUCCUCGAUCAGCCCUCUUGGAUGAGAAAGGCAUCGCUUUGCUGAAUAAUCUUGUUAAAAAAGAAGCACAAUAAAGUUAAGAAACGUCUUGGUCGUCCUCUGAAAUCACGCAUUCAGUCUCGGAUUCCUAUUUCUAAAGCUAAGUAUUCCUUGUCUUCCCAUGAUAAAUCCAAUUAAUAUUACCAUCUAGAGUAUUCCCAUGUAUUCCUUGUCUUCCCGUGUUGAUUCCUUACAUUAUUUUCAUAAAGUUUGUUUGGAAAAUUCUACCUGAUUUUUGAUUCUUUUAGAGCCUCUGUCUAAUUUAGCUUAGUUGGAAGUAUCGGGCUGCAUCUUUUGUUCAAGAAAAUUUUCGAUUUUUUUGGUUUUAUGAAAUGGUUUUGAAUUUUUUUGAAUAUGUCAACCAGUUGGUCCAUGCAUCUGUCUCUUUUCAUUCUAGUGCAUCAUUUAUGUUUUUGGGGGUAUAUGUGAAGUGUGCUAGGGUUGGACGAUGGAGUGUGUGGGUGGCAAUAGAGUCUUUAGGCACAAACAUGCACCUACCCUGGAUGGAUGUAGGAGAUUUUAACGUUAUUUUGUCAGUGGGGGAAAGGGCUAGUGGUUCCCCUACCAGUGUUCAUAACAUGGAAGAGUUCAAAUCUAUGUUUAAUUGUGGUUUAUCAAUAGUUGAGUUUAUAGGCCAAUCGUUCAUUUGGACCAAUAGUACAAUUUGGCAAAGGUUGGAUAGAGCAUUAAUUAAUGCUAGAUGGAUGGAAUUUUAUCUGAUCAAUAAAGUUUUCCAUUUGGUAAGGGAACGGUCAUGCCAUUCUCCUUUGUUCAUGCACUGUGGGUCAGGAAGGCAACUCCAUUCUUCUUUUCGCUCCCUCAAUGUGUGGUGUAAUCAUCCAAAAUUUUGGAUGCUGUGGUAGAUGAAUGGAAGAAGCUUGUAUCUGGUAUAGGGAUGUUUGGUUUUUCUAGAAAAUUAAUGAUGGUUCACAAAAGGUUUGAGAGCUUGGAAUCGGGAAUCAUUUGGUAAUAUUUUCUUAAGAGUUAAAGUUACAAAAGAGACUUUUAAGUAGAGGGAAGUGGAGUUUGAUUUGAAUCGAGAUAAGCUAUCUAAGGUUCAUCUACAUGAACCUCAAACUUUAUAUUCUCAUGAACUUGUUGUUGAGUGUGCUUUCUGGCACCAAAAGGCUGGAGUUAAAUGGAUGAAAGAAAGGGACGUUAACACGGCUUAUUUUCAUGGCUUAUUAAAGCAAAGAUGAAACAAUGAUUUUAUCUCGCUGAUUAAGGAUGAUUCUGACUCUUGUUUGGAAUCUUUCGAUUUUAUUAAAACGUCGACAAUUGAUUUUUAUUCUAAGUUGUUUACUUUCAAAUGCUAGGUAUGUACUUCGUAACUCUCCUUUGAAGUUUCUUCUAUUUGGGAUGAGAAUAAUAUUAUGAUGAAGGAGAUUCCGACCGAGAGAUUCCGACCUUGGAGGAGCUUCAGUCGGUGGUUUUUUCUAUGGACGUUGAUAGUGCUCCAUGUCCUGAUGGCUUUGGUGCUAAUUUUUAUUAGUCUUGUUGGGAGAUUGUUAAAGAUGAUUUGUUAUUGGUGACCUAAGAUUUUUUUUGUAGUUGUUGAGUAGCUUAAGUGUUGGUCUAGUUCUCUCUUUGUUCUUCUUCCAAAGGUGGAAGGUGCUCAUCAAUGUAAGGACUUUAGACCAUUUAGUCUUUGCAAUGUGAGUUCAAAAAUUAUUUCAAAAAUUUUGGCAAAUUGGAUCAAUAAACUACUUCUGUCACUUAUUUCUCCAUGGCAGACAUGUUUUGUUCCAAGCAGGGGAAUUGGAUAAUAUGUUGUUAGCUCAGGAAUUGGUUUUGGACUUAGAUAGGGAAUUAUCAAAUCUGAAUUUGAUUCUUAAGUUCGAUGUGGAAAAGGCUUAUGAUCGCGUUGAGUGGCCUAUUUUUCUAUUCAUGUUACGGAGAUUUUAUUUUUUUGAAUUCAUGGUUGAUUUAUUUUUUCAAAUAUUUACUAACUCAUGGUUCUCCUUGUUGGUAAAUAGGGAACCUCCAGGCUUCCUUAAAUCUUCCAGAGAGGUUUGAUAGGGUGAUCUGUUAUCGCCAGCACUUUUUCUUUUUGUUGCUGAAUUUCUUGGUUAGGGUCUUCAUUAGCUUUUUUUGGAAGAUGAUCACCGGUUUUUUGUAUCAUUUGGUUCUCGGAUUCCAUAUCUAGCUUUUGCUGGUGAUACAAUUAUUUUCAUUGUUCGGAGGAUUGUUUGUAUGCUAUUUGGUACUUUUUAAACUUGUAUCAGUCUUUUUGGGAUAAAAAGUUAAUAUUACCAAGAGUUCCUUUUUAUCUUCAUUGAGAGCCUCAGAUGGACAUUUAUCUUUGGUUUCAUCGAUUCAUGGGUUUAGGGAGCAGCCUUUUCCCAUGCUUUAUUUGGGGGUUCCUUUGAUAAAAGGGAGAUUAGAAUGUGUCAUCUUUGAUGGUCUUGCUAAAUUGAGACAGCUUCAAUUCCAUUGGAGUUGAAAGCUACUUAGUAUGGGUCGAAAAAUCAUACUCAUUCAGCAUGUGUUGAGUUCUAUACCAUUGUAUUUAUUACAAAUGGUGCAUCCUCCAAAGGAUGUUCUAGUGGCUUUCGAGAGAAUAUGUAAUGUUUUUUUUGGGGGAUAAGAACAUUGAUGUUAAACGGACAUAUUGGGCUGCCUGAGAAAAAAUUGUGUUCUCCAGUACAAGAAAGUGGUUUGGGUUUUCGAUCUUUUGAGGACACCUUGAAAGCUUUUUCAUGUAAAUUGUAGUGGAGAUUGAGAAAAAAUGACUCUAUUUGGUCUGUUUCAUGCACCAAAAAUACAUCAAAGGGAUUCAUCCAUCUUUGGUGGUGGUUGAUAGACCUUUGGCUUCAUGGUGAAUGAUGGAAGAGAUUCGUGAUUUUGCUGAAAGUCGAAUUUGUUAGUCUCUAGGGGCAUGAUUGAUUGAUUUUUUGCAUGAUACUUGGUGUUUUGAUAAGCCUUUGGCUCAGAUUAUAGAUAAUUUGGAUAAACCUUAUGCUUUAAUAGGGGAAUUUUAUUCGUCGAAUGGUUGGAAUGAGUUGCAACUUCAUCAAUGGUUGUCACCAUCCCUAGUUGCUUGUAUAUUGGAGAUUCUAUUCCUUCUUGAGGUGCAUGAUCAAAUGAUUUGGUCCCCUUCUUCUACUGGUGAGUUCUUGGUGGCGUCCGCUUGAGAGAUGGUUCAGCAAAAACUGUGACGACCCCACUUCUCCUUAGGGCAAAUCCUAGGGUUUUGGUGGGCCGCCUGCCUAGCUCUCGCCAGGGCUCAAUACGAGUCAAAUUUAAAUUUAAAAGUAAUCAACCAAUAAUAAAAUCGAUAAAAAGAAAAGUCGCUUCCUUAUAUAAUCAUUCAAGUCUUACAUCACAGAGUUUCCAAAAGGUACAUCAAAUUUUUUCAAAACACAACCAUCCAAGGUUGACUAAACUAUUUACAUUCAAAUUCUAAUCAAAAGGUAAUCAAGUCAGUUUCUCCAAAAAUCUUUCCAUUCCGAGACCCUACUAAGGAAAACAAACUACGGGGGUGAGCUAACGCUCAGUGAAGCCAAGAAAAGCAUGCAAACACAUAAGUUCAAGUAACGAUAAUACAUGUACAAGAAAUAUAGCUAGAAAGUUCAAGUAAUUCACAAUUAACAAUAAAGCACACUCAAUAAUGAUACGGGAGCUCUCAGGAGCUAGAUUCCCCUUGCUUUGCCGAGGCUCGAUCUAAUACCUCCACGUGAUGACACUCCGUCAACCGGGUAGGUAUCAAGUCUGUAGAACUCCACUUACUUCCUCCAUCCUUCAUUUCACCCUCUCAGAUCCCUAACCAAACACUCACUGGGAGGGCAAUACUACUCGAGUAUGCCAAGUAACAUCUCAAAAGAUCAAUCUUAUGAUUUUCUCAUGGUUCACCAGGCUUCUCGACCAAGCCCAUACCGGCUUGAGUCGCAAGGUUAGCCAAUGAGUUUUGGGCGUCCCCAGAUGUACAAUUACACUUUGCCAAGUUCACGCAAUUCAAUUAUCAAUUCACUUCACACAAUUCAAUUGUCUAGUUAAGGACAAGAGAACGAGUGUGAUAAAGUACACACUCGUCUCGAUAAGUCCCAAUCACUUAAUGAAUAAGAAACAAUUCAAGUAUUUAGCAACAAUUCAUGCACUUGAAACUCACCAAUUCAAAAGCAAGUGAGCAAAUAAAGCCCUUCAGUUGUCCUCACCGGGAUCCCUUUCGAAACCCUAUUGAGCACUGAAGAAAUAGUGACCAACCAUCACUCACAUACACUCUAGACAACUUAACAUUCAAGGAAGAAAAUGCAUUUGCUUAACAUUUAAAACAAUGCCUUAAAAGAGCUUUAAUGCAUCGAAAUCGAGGUUCAAAAUGAAGAUUCAAAGUCACAAGGGAAACUUGUAUCCUCCAUGAAAUCAAGUUCAAAACAGACUAUCAAUCUCAAAAGGAAGUGGGAAGUUCAUAAAAGUUCAUUUCUUAAGAAAUCAGAAAAUUUCAGCUUUGUACGACCAUACUUGGAAAAUCAUAUCUUGAGUUUGGUAAGUCAAAAAAUUGGAAAAUUUACACCGUUGGAAACUAGAUUCAAAGUGCUAAAACUUUCCAGAAGACACUUUUCCUAGACUCCAACUAGAAAUCAUUCGAAUUUCAACUCAAAGUUGUUGUUUCAUGAAGACAGGGCAGAACCAGUUCUUGUUUUUCAGCAAAGUUUGAAAAUUCGGCAAAAUUCACAAGUAUUGAAUUAACCUCUGCAAUUUAUAACACAGAAAUAUUUUCACGUAAAGUUUCAAACACAACAAGCAGAAAUAAAUUUGGAUUUUUGAACAACAAGAUACAAUAGUUUGAAGAUGGCUGGAUUUCACAGCCUGUUCAACAAUUUUCCAGUUUCCAGCUUUGACACAAUUUUGAAAUUAGACCAUAUCUAACUCUACCCAAGUCCAAAUUGAGAAUGGUUUAUGGUGUUAGAAACUAGAUUCAAAAUUCUUCAAAUCAUCAGAAGACAUCGUUUUCAAACUCCUUUCACAAGUGAGAUGAAAAUGAGCCACAAAAUACAGUUUCACGGUUUCUCUCAGAUAAACAGGUAAAACAGGUCAGUCUACUUUGCUGAUUCAUUACGGCUCACUCAAAACGAAUUUUAGGGAAAUUUUAUACCGUUAGAAAGCUAUUGGUGUCUAUUUUCAAAUGCCACAAACGGAACUCGAUUUUGAAUUUUUUACAAAGAUUUAUACACAAACAAAGAAUCACUGGUCGACUGACCUGGGUAGCUUUUCCAGUUUUGAAGAGCAAUCUUUGGGGCAUUAUUUGGGCAUCGAAAUGGUAUUGUAAUUAUGCCAAAUUUGAUACACUUAAACUUCAAUAUAUGGACUACCUCUCUACCAAAAUUUAGGCAAAAACCCGCAUGGGGAGGUAGUUAAUAAAAUGACCAAAGUGUGUGAAAUUCUUUGAAGCAAAUCUGCCAACCCUAUCAUUCUUUCUUUUCCAAAAGUUUUGUCCAACGAAAACCAGCCCCAAUUUACUCCAUUUUUGAAACCAAGAUUCUAGCAACAUUUAUUGAGUGAUUGAUGGUUCAAUAGCACCAAAAUAUUUGGAACGAAACACCCCAAAACAGAUUUGACCAUUCGGUCAGCAGGGAAAGGAAAAUUUCUAGAUUUUUGGCCAAUUUUUCAUGCAUUUUUGAAGCACCAAAUGAAAGAGUUUUUGGCUAGAAAUUUGUCCACUUAAAGCUCAACAUAUCAGCUCUCAAAGUCACAAAAAUAUGGCAUCAAAAUAGAGUAACAAAACUCAAAAUUUCAGCCAGCACUUCUCCCUCUCCUCUCGGUUUCUCUCUUUCAUUUUUCUCUUCUAGUUCCUACCAUUAAAACUCAUCACAAACACACUAACACACAUAUAAACAUCAUGGCAGCCCUUAUUUAACCAAGGUGGGAGUUCAUAGAGUCCACUUCAACCAACCAAAUCCAACCAACAACAACAAGAAGGAAGCUACAAGCUUCAAAGCCAAGAAAUGAAACAAGAAAACAAGAAUUUUGGUGAGAGAUGAUGUGUAUACCUUCCAAACACAAGAUGAAGCCCUAGAUUUUUGGUGUGAGAAACUCCCCAAAACAGCCCCAUCCAGCCGGCCUCUCUUCUCUUCAAGAUGUCCUCAAGUACAAAGUUAAACUAGCAAGGAGUUGAAAGUUCUCUUGGGGAUUUUGGAUGGAAGAGUAAGAAGAACUUGGCGAGCAAGAAUGUAGAAGAAAUGGCCAAGGGAGGUUCAGCCAAGAGGGAAGAGAAAAGGGAGAGUUUUGAUUGGUAGGUGGUGAUGUGAGGUUGUGUAAGAAGGAUUUGACAUAAAGAUGUCUUGGUACACAAAAGUCAACAUCCAAUUAGUGAGCAAUUUGUGUUCCUAAUUGAGUUUAACUUAACUCACUCACAUCUAAUCCCUCAAUUAACUUUUCUUAGUCUACUAUUAAUCAUCUUUAGUUCUCCAAGGCUAAUAUACUCUUGGAUCGAAUUUGCCUCAAAAAAUGUGCAUUCACAUUUUCUCGCGAAACGAGCUGCAGAAAAAUUAAAUUUGCUAACGAAACGUUUUAGAAAUAUAAAUGAGAUAUUGUCCCAUGCAAAUGAAAUUAAAAUGGAUGAAAUAGAUUAAUUGGAGAAAAUGGAUAAUUAAAUAAUUAAAUAGGCCAGUAAAAUAAAAUAAAAGUAAGAAAAAUUCGGGUCCUCACAAAAACAAAAUUCUUCGUUGCUCCACAAAAUUGUUUGGAACUCUCUUGUUCCUCUAAAAGUUUCUUUCUCGGCUUGGCGCUUGUUGCGUCGUUGGGUUCCUAUUGAUGAUUUAAUGCUAAGAAAAGGCAUAGUUCUAGCGUCGAGGUGCUACUGUUGUCGUGUACAUUUUGAAACAAUUGAGCACUUGUUUGUAACUAGUUCUCUAGCUUCAGAAUUAUAGCAGUUUUUUGCACGCCAAUUUGGUAUAUUGGAGUUGCGAGUUAGAGGAAUUUCAUCUAUGUUACUUUCAUGGCUCGCCUCGCUCCAAUUAGUGACAGCAAACCAUAUCAGAGAUAUAACUCCUUUGCUUUUUUUGUGGUUUAUACGGAAGGGUCAUAACCAGGCACGUUUUCAGGGGGAACCCUUUUCUGCCUUUAAUGUUAUUUUUCAAGUGGAUUAGUUUAUUAUGCAAAUAGAGGCAAACAAAUGCCUUCAUUUCAGUGGCGGAGCCAGAAAAAAUUCUUAGUGGGGGCAAAAGCAACACUAAAAUUUUUUACCUACUCUUUUUCUAGUUUUUUAAGAAAAAAAAAAAAAAAAAUCACCAACAAGUACAAAUAAUGCAUAUAUUCCAUGAAAAACAUAAACAAACAAAUUCAAAAUUAUUAAUGUAAUAAUAAUUUUAUUUCAAAAAUAAACUAAACUAUUUAUAAUUGCUCAUUGCGAGUUUUUAUAUUUUAAUAACUAACUUGGUUGUGGAAAUAAGAAUGGCUCUCGGUUGUGGAGGGAAAAUGGGGGACCAAUGGAGGGAAGGGAAAUUGGGAAGUGGGGACAAAUGAAGUGAAUGAUAUGAUUGGAUGAAUUGAUCAAGAGAAAAAGUAGCUAGCUGCUUGGUUGUGGAAGGUAGUGGCUCUCGGUUGUGGGGAAAAAAUGGGGACCAGAAGAGAGAAGGGAAAUUGGGGAGUGGGGUCCAAAGAAAGUGAAUGAUAUGAUUGGCACUUGCUAAUUGAAAUGAAAAGGUUUUUUUUAUCUUUUUUCAAAUGGAAUUUGUACCCCACGUAUCUGUUUAGAAUUUUAGUUUAUGAACAAACUUAAAAAAUUACGUAAUUCUUUCACAUCCUUUCUAAGAAAACUCUGGGGCACACUUAAAAUUAUAUCAAAAUUAUAUAAGUAUUAUAAGAAUUUAAGAGGGGCAGUGGGGGCCCGUGCCCCCACCUUAAAUCCGCCCCUGCUUCAUUUGAUGUAUUUUAGAGGUGACUUUGAUCACCGGUGCAGUCGCCUGGUUUAUCGUUUACACAAGAAGAGUCGGUGGUGGCCGGUGUGUGAGAAACUAUCACAUAACUAUUUUAAGUUGAACACGGAUGCUAGUGUGAUCUUUGCAUGGGCAUUUGGGGGAGGGAUUUUACGGACUCAUAAUGGUAAGUUAGUUUUUGCAUUUUAUAAGGAAUUUGGGGAGGUCGACGUGUUGAUAUUUGAGGCUUUAUCGCUAUUAUGGGGGCUAAAACUUUGCCAGGAAAGAGGUGUUAGAGAGUUCACGAUGAAGACUGAUUCAAGUUCUUGUUUUCUUAGUUAAAUCUAAGUUUCUUGGUAAGUGGUGUUUGUAUAAUACAUUUUCUGUUGCAUGGUUUGAGAGCUUCAUUGACUCAUUUUUAGAGAAGCAAAUUCUAUUGUUGAUGCACUGGCUUUGAUGAGUUUGGAUUCGAAUAUGGUCUUCAAUGCAGCCGAGUCUCUUCCUUUAAGGAUGAGGUUGGCAAUGCAACUAGAUAGGCUAUCAAUACCUUUUGUUUGGCGUCGCGUUUCUAAGAAGUUUUAAAUUUGUUGGUUUUUUCUUGUAUUCUUGAGGUUUGGUUUGACCCCCUCAAACUCUUUGUAAGUUUUUAUUUUAUCUAGUGAAAUGGAGGAGUGGCACCCUCCAUCAUAGGGGUGGGCGCUGGUCGGGUACCCGCGCCAUUCACCAUUUGGUUGACCCAACCCGUACCUUGCAGGUCAGCCAUUUUCUGACCCUUACCCGCCCCGCAUAUCAGCGGGUACCCGCCCCGUCCGAUUUAUCAUUUAAUUUUUUUAAAAAAUAAUUUAUACCAAUUUAAUUUUAUAUUAUACACAUUCAUCUAAGGUUUAAUAAAAUUUUUUUCUAAAAAAGGUUCCCACCAAGAAACAAGCAUGUAAAGAGAAUAUAAGGUAAAGAAAAAAAAUUAAAAGAAUUCAAAAUCAAUAAAAGUUUGAAAUAAGUAGCACAAUGUUUAAUAUAUAUGUUUCACAUUAAUUAAACUUUUUUCUAUAAAAUAUAAGAUCAUAGCCUCUACAAAUGAAUCUUGUAAAUAAACUAUAGUCUUUCAUAUUUAUAAUACAAUUUGUUCAAUCAAAUUAAACUUAUUAUUUUAUAGUGUAUGUAUAGAAAUAAAAAUAAAAAAAAUUAAAAAAUAUAUAUGCGGGGUGGAUCAGGUACCUGCGGGUUUUUAAUUAUAUGACCCUAACCCGCCCCGCAUCUUAGCAGGUACCUGACCCUCCUUUGACCCGAUCAAAUAACAAAAAUUGGAUAUUCUAAUUUUAGGAUCGGAUCGGAACGGAUAUGAUGGAUUUUCGGGUUAGCGGAUAAUUUUGCCCACCCCUACUCCAUCACACAUAUUAACUUUACUUGGUGUCUUAUUUUUUUUAUUAAGAAAUCUAAAAACCUCACAGCUUCGUCCAUUUAAUAGAAAUUAAUUUACCACCCACACUUUAAUCAUCCAAUUACACACAUUGAACAAAUCUAUUGCUACUUCUUUCUCCAUUUUUUCACCAUUAACAGUUUCUAAGUAGUGGAAGCAAAAACACAUCGCUUUCUUAGGUUGCUUAACAGUUUAACUCUAAAAUCAUAUUUUCACCUAUUUCUAUACAAAAACUUUUGUUUUCUAUAUCUAUUGCUUUUUGCAAAAAAAAAAAAUUUACUGACUGCAUGAUGAUAAAUAUAAGAUUUCUCCUUCAUAGGCAUUCGUUUGCCAUAGACUUUCUUUCUACUCUUUUUUUUAAUAUGAAUUUGCAACUCUAAAAUGAAUAAACAAUAGCAUGAGGAACAUAAAUACUCUAAUUUUAAUUAGUUCUUUUGCUGACACUCAAGGAAUUGCUUGUUGAUUUUUUUUUUUUUUGCAAUAUAAUGAAUCUUUUUUUUUUCAAAAUAGCCUAAUUUUUUAUUCAAAAACAAUAGCGUACAUCAGGUGGGGCACCCUAAGUCAAGCGUACAUAGGGCGUCUGUAUCCUGUCUAGGUGGGCUAAUCCCUUUAUACAUUCUAGAAGUGGGGUGGGAGGGAACCUUUGACUAAUAUGUGUGGAGCUUGCUAGGUGAGCUAGGGCAUCCGCAACUGCAUUUGCUUCUCUAUAGGUAUGAGCAAAUGAAACCUGGCGAUCUAUCGCUAAAGCCUUGAUGCGUGAGACAGUCUUCCAUAGCUUCCAAGGGACUCCGUCGUUGCCUGUCACCAUGUUCAGCAAAACCUGAGAGUCCAUUUCAAUGUGCAAACAGGGGAUAUCCGCUGAGGCGCGCAUGCCUUCCAGUAGCGCCAAGGCCUCUGCUUCCAUAUUUGUCAUGGGCCCUAAGAACAAUGAGAAGGCACUCAAGAUAUGACCCUCGGGGUCGCGGAGUACCCCUCCGGCUCCUGAGUCUCCUGGAUUCCCUAAGGAUGAGCCAUCAAUAUUUAACUUGACAUACCCGGGCGGCGGCCGCGUCCAUGUGACCCAGCACAGGAGGGGUCGCUCCAUCGGUGUCAUGUUAAUAGAUAAGCCCGAGAGGACCAACUCCCUAUCGUCCUGCAUCGCCAGGAUGAAGGGGCGGACCUUGGACAUGCCGAGCAGCAAAGCUUUGAUGUUCCAACAUAGUCAGGACGGCGUUGCAACAAUCCCCUCGUACAUUGCCAUGUUUCUGGCCUUCCCUAGUUCCCAACAUAUAAGGGGUGGCAACACCCUACACAACUCACCCCGCGCAGUACUAGGAGACCUGUAGAGCCACCACUGCUGCAAGCGACAGAUGACACCAUUGGGAGGUCUAAUGGGCAGCUGAAGGACCUUAGAGAAAUAGUUCCACACCUCAGUAGCAAGGGGACAGUCGUAGAAGACGUGGUCCAGGGUCUCCCCAUCCGGGCAGAAAUGACACUUGGAGGGGAGCUGGAAACCAAGCCUGCGUAAAGCUUCAAGGAAAGGCAAAUAGUUGUUAAGCAGCUUCCACAUAAAAAUGGCGAUUUUGCACGGUAUGCGACAACUCCAGACGCACCUCCGUGACCCUAGAUAGGCUUGUUUAGGCCAUAGUGCAUCCCAUGUAGAGGAGACUGUAAAAUCUCCGGAGGGCGUAAGAACCCAAGCUCGUCGAAUGCCACAGUCUAGCUCGAUAUCUUGUGUGAAUUGGUCCACCGUGUCCCGAACAGCCAGCAUCCUUUUCUAAACUCGUGAAACCGUAAGCUGGACACCACCGUCCAUGGGGUAACGAGACCUCAUAUAAUCGGCCCACAGGGAAGCUGAGUUACAAAACCUCCACCACAAUUUGCAGCUGAAUGCCCCUAGUAUGUCUUCCAAAGAACACACCCCAAGUCCGUUCUCAUUCACCAGAUAACAUAAGUUCCUCCAGGAGCACCAAUGAUGCUUAGGACCCAACUCCGAUUGUCCCCAAAAGAAAUUUACCAUGAGGCCUUCGAGGCAUUUGAGCAGCCCCUUGGGGGGAUCCAUGACCGCCAGCACUUGCGAUGGGAUGGCUGAGAGAACAUGUUUGAUCAGGAUCAAGCGACCACCGGGCGAAAGGAACUUUGUUUGCCAGGCCGCUAGCUUAGCAAUGAAUUUGUCGACCAGGAACUGGAAGUAUUCCUUUUUCCUGUGGCCAACAAACAGGUUGCAUCCCAAAUAGGUGAAAGGGAAAGUACCCUGUUUGAAGCCGGUCAAGUGUUGGAUGUGACGUAUUUGGCCCGUGCUACACCGCCUGGAUGCUAUGAAGAAACUCUUUUGCUUGUUAAUCCAUUGUCCCGCCCCUUCUUGGUAGAGUGUUAAAAAAUGGACCAGAUUCACCAUAGAGCGCCUAUCCCCCCGAGCAAAAAUCACAACAUCGUCCGCAAAGGACAAGUGCGUGAUACGAAUGCCGCCCUUUGGCAGUGCAUAGUGGGCAAUCCUGCCAUCCGUUGCCUGUGCUUUUAAUCCCCUACUAAGGGCCUCAGAUGUAAGGAUGAAAAGGAUAGGGGACAGGGGAUCACCUUGCUUAAUCCCACGUGAGGCCUGAAAGAAACCCCUGGACCUGCCAUUCACUAGCACAGAAAACCAACUCUGAGAGAGGUUAUUCAAAACUAGCAAAAUAAACCGAUAACCAAAACCAAACUUCUGGAGCAGGCGCCAUAGGAAGCACCACGACACUCUGUCGAAAGCCUUCAUCAUGUCCAAUUUGAAAAUGCAAUUAUGCUCGUGGGCUUUCUUAUCAAUGGACGCCACCAUUUCCUGGGCCAGGAGUACAUUUUCAGCUAUAUCACGGCCUGGAUAGAACGCAGAUUGCUCCGGGGAUAUAAUGCUUUGGAGGAUAGGGCGCAACCUAUUAGCCAACACUUUCGUAAAAACUUUGUUGACGAAAGUGCACAGGCUAAUGGGUCAAAAAUCCGCAAAGGUAGUUGGAUUUGGCUUCUUUGGGAGCAGAACAAUUAGCGUACUAGCAAUGCCCUUCGGGAUCAUGGUCCCAGCCAAAAGUCCCUGGCCGCUGCCAAGACAUCAGGGGCCACAGUAUCCCAGCAAUGUCGGAAGAAAAUACCAGUGUAACCAUCUGCACCCAGGGCACUAUCCUUGUCGAGGUUGAAAACAACCCCCUUUAGCUCUUCUAGUGUUAUCUCCCAUAGAAAGUCCGCAUUCUGGUCCUCGGAUACAAUUUCCGGUAUGUAGGCUAGCAAUUCAUCUACAUCGCUGACGUCCUCAGCAGUCAAGAGACGCUGGAAGAAGUUGACCGCCUCUUGUGCAAUCUGCUCCUCAGCCUCAGCCCAUGCCCCCUCUCAUUUUUAAUGCAGUGUAUAGUCAGUUUUGAGUGCUUCUCCUGAACAGAGGCAUGAAAGAACCGUGUGUUGCAAUCACCAUUCUUCAGCCACCGUAAGCGCGCCUUUUGGCGCCAGUAAUCCUCUUCAACACGUAGGCUGUGCAAUAGGAGAGCUUGCGCACGGUGGAGUUCAGCCCUAGUCUCAGCCGUAGGGUUGGCUUCAUACAGGACUUCCUUUUGCUGAACCUCGAUCUCGUGUUGCUGAGCAGUUUGGAAGAUAUCUCCAAAGUGUUAUUUGCUUCAAAGGCGCAAGCACACCUUUAGUCGCUUGAGUUUGAACGCUAAACGGUACAUGCCAUAUCCGUCUGCAGACAAGGCCCAGUUGCUCUGGACCACAUAUCAGAAGUCAGGGUCCGAGAUCCAAAAAGCUUGAAACUUGAAGGACUUCAGGACGCUUGAACUAGCAGGCUGCAGGGUCACCAGGAGCGGGGAGUGGUCCGAAGUGGCUCGAUUGAGAUGUUGGACAGAAGUAUUGGGCAAGAAACUGAGCCACUGGUGAUUCGCUAAUACCCUAUCCAGUCGUUUCCAGACUCUAGCACCUGCUCUAAUACCCGACCACGUGUAGGGACUGUCGGAGUAAGGAACCUCCUGGAGGUGGUAGUCAGAAAUUGCCGUAUUAAAGUCAGAAAUUGCCCCAAGAUCUUGGGCUGCCCUUCCGGCAUAUUCCGCCAGUGUGCUGAUAACAUUGAAAUACCCACCUACUAACCACGGCCUUGUGACCGAUCCAGUGAUAGAGCUCAAUUCGGACCUUAGGGAGUGCCUGUCGACCCUAGUGCACUUGGCAUAUAUAAAUGACAUAUUGACAGUUUCUAUCCAAGAAUCAAAUCCCACCAUAACGUGAAGCAUUUGGUCCGAAUUAUGCAAGACAUUAAAAUAAAAACCAGCACGCCAAAACAUCCAGACCUUAUUUGAUGAGUUAAGUAAGCAAAGUUCAAAAGACAACUUCACAUGCAAAACCUCUAUGUUAGACGCUGUGACGACCCCACUUCCCCCUAAGGCGAACCAAAGGGUUCGGCGGCCGCCUGCCCAGCUCUCGCCGGGACUCACUACAAAACUCAAGCAUGAAUAUAAUCGAUGGUUCUUAAAAGCUCAAACGGAGUAUAAUAUAUCCACCAGUCCAACACACCAAAGUACAAGUCCAAUACUUCAUCUAAAUUGUCGUACUAAUAACUUAAGUACAAUCCUUAUGUUUGCAAUUCAAAUCAUUCUUACAAAAGUAUAAUCCCCAAAAUAUCAUGAGAUUUACAUUCACUUCAACCACAAGUACAUCAUACCAAAAAGUUUCACAAAUCUUUCAAAACAACCAUUACACUUCACGAAGAAAAUCAAUCACAAUCCAGAUAAAGGAUAAUCCACGGUACUCCAAAUCCUUGCGCUUGAGUAACUAUCCUUCUCGAGCCCUGCAUAGAACUAAAAUAUUUUUGGGGGUGAGCUAAAGCUCAAUGAGGUUUCAAAAGGGAAAAUCAAGUAUUUAUAAACCAGUGCGUAAGCGUUACUUUGGAAACACAUGUAGAAGUAAUACUUUUGUUGGCAACUUUGUUCUGAGUACAACUCAUAAAUCAUUUAAAAACCACUAACGUACAUUUGGAAUGCAUGAUCACAUAAAUAUAUUUUCAUGAAUUUUAGUCAAACAAAUAGUGGCUCGUCCGACUAGAAGAACAUUACAAGGAUUGCUUCGUCUCAGAGAUUAAUGCUCAUGAGGAGUCUUACCCGAGAAAUGUCAACUAGGAGAGCAAUAACAGUAUUAAUAGUAAAGCAAACACAAAAGGAUACAAUACUCGGUCCACUUCCGUCCUUAUAACUCCCGUUGGUAACUCCUUCGGUUGACUGGCCAUCACCUUAUCCCUCCAGUGGUAAUACUCGAGUAUACCAAAAUACAGUGCCCAGGGUUAUCAACCUAUCCGACCGAGUCCGCUUCUGGCUCGAAUAGGUGAUAACGAAGGGGAAGACUCCUCAUGAGCAUUAAUCUCUGAGACGAAGCAAUCCUUGUAAUGUUCUUCUAGUCGGACGAGCCACUAUUUGUUUGACUAAAAUUCAUGAAAAUAUAUUUAUGUGAUCAUGCAUUCCAAAUGUACGUUAGUGGUUUUUAAAUGAUUUAUGAGUUGUACUCAGAACAAAGUUGCCAACAAAAAUAUUACUUCUACAUGUGUUUCCAAAGUAACGCUUACGCACUGGUUUAUAAAUACUUGAUUUUCCCUUUUGAAACCUCAUUGAGCUUUAGCUCACCCCCAAAAAUAUUUUAGUUCUAUGCAGGGCUCGAGAAGGAUAGUUACUCAAGCGCAAGGAUUUGGAGUACCGUGGAUUAUCCUUUAUCUGGAUUGUGAUUGAUUUUCUUCGUGAAGUGUAAUGGUUGUUUUGAAAGAUUUGUGAAACUUUUUGGUAUGAUGUACUUGUGGUUGAAGUGAAUGUAAAUCUCAUGAUAUUUUGGGGAUUAUACUUUUGCAAGAAUGAUUUGAAUUGCAAACAUAAGGAUUGUACUUAAGUUAUUAGUACGACAAUUUAGAUGAAGUAUUGGACUUGUACUUUGGUGUGUUGGACUGGUGGAUAUAUUAUACUCCGUUUGAGCUUUUAAGAACCAUCGAUUAUAUUCAUGCUUGAGUUUUGUAGUGAGUCCCGGCGAGAGCUGGGCAGGCGGCCGCCGAACCCUUUGGUUCGCCUUAGGGGGAAGUGGGGUCGUCACAGGUGGUAUCAGAGCUUAGUCUUCAGAUCUUUGUAGUGUAUCCUAGGCUUUAAGUAUAGGAUGCCGGACUGUGGAGUUUGAUUGUCUAGCAAGUGGAAUGUGAUCCUAGUACUUGAUGAUUGAUUGAGUAAUAUUGAAGUGCUUGUUUUUAAGUGGGUUUGCACACUAGGGUUUCUUAUAUUAUAGGAAACUGAAGAGAAUUGUGUGAGAUUGAUUUGAAAAGUGAUAGUUGAGUUUCUUGAACAUUGGUACUAGUGAUAUCUAUAUGAUCGAAUUUGACUAGGUAAAUCGUAAGUUUCGAGGUAUCCUCUAGGCUUGUAAUCUUCAUAAGUAUACGUAUAAAAGUGAAUGUGAAUCUUGGAUCGAUUGCUUGAGUGAGACCUGUGACAGCCCCACCUUCCCCUAAGGCGAACCAAAGGGGUUAGCGGACUGCCUGCCCAGCUCUCGCCAGGACUACGGUACAGUUAACGUCGUUCUAUAACGUUCCGGAACAUACCAUUGCGCGCAAACAAGUCAGAAAACACAAAAUAAAAAAAAAACGAAAAUUGAAAACCGAAAUGAAUAGUGCUGGACACGCCAGAAUCCGGCCGGAAUCUGGCCGGAUUAGAGGCCGGAUUCUUGGCCGGAUACUGUCCAGUAAGCAUCUCGAAUUUUUUUCAAAAGUUCCACCCAAUCCGGCCGGCAAUCCGGCCAAUAUUCCGGCCGGAUUGUCUGGCCGGAUACCGGCCAGUGAGCAACUGGCCGGGUUUCCAAUUUUUCUCAAUCAAUCCGGCCUUCAAUCCGGCCAGAUUCUGGCCGGAUUCCUGGCCGGAUUCAGGCCAGUGAGCUUUUGCCAAAAAUUUUUUUCUUUUGCCGUUUGAAAGCCGAUUCGCUCCGAAGUUCAUCCAAACAUCAAUUCAACAUAUAAACAUAUAUAUACAAUGGAAAUCAUCAUUUACAUCCAUAAUGGCAUGCCAACCAUUCAUUAAGGAGUACACAUUCGAUUUGCCUAUCAAAAGGAAAUGAACCCGUUACAUUAGGGUUUCACUUCGAGAGCGAUACAAAAGACAUGUACAAGCUCAGUAUGGCAAUUGACUAUCCAGUCCAUUUUCAAAAGCAUUUAUAUUCCUGUAAGGAAAACAAAUAACACGGAAUGAGCCAAGGCCCAGUGGUAUACCACCCAAUAAGCAAUCAAAGUCAUAUAAGAAUGAACCUUCAUUUAAAGUGCACAACUAAGCAAUGAAGCAAAAUGGUAAAAGGAUACGGUCGGCUCUCAAGAGCCCAUUUCCACGCUUGCAAUCUUGAACCAAUCUCAUUGACUCUCCGUCAAUGUUAAAAUACCAAACCGUAGACAACUCUUUACUUCCAUUCCUUCCACCCAACAUACCCCAACCGGGCCCGCACUCCAUUUCAGUAGCUUUUGGUAAUACUCGAGUUUACCGGAACCAAGGGUCUCAUUACCACAAGGUUCCCCAGUACAGUCCCCGUGGCAAUUCAAUCUUCACGACCAAGCCCUCGCCGGCUCGAUCCAAUUGACUACCAAACGGAGUUGAGCUCAGUAAUGCAGUAUGGCCGUUGGACAUCGUCCAAACGACAUCAAUUCGGUUUCCAUGAAAUGGAAUUUACCAACCAAUAUAUCAAGUCCAGUAAUGCAAUAAAACGGUAACCAAUCAGUGACAAUAACAAAAGAGGUGAGGGCGGUCAAGUACACCCUCACCUUGAUCAAUUUCAAUAUCCAAGUAGGCCAUUAAGGCAUCACAUAACAUUUAACAAAGCCACAUAGUAAUCCAUCAAGUGAGUAGUAUACUCACCAAGUAAGAAAAUGGUGUUUCAUACACCGUGAUCACCAAGACGCCGUGAGCUACCGUCACGCCCUAGAAUCACACAACAAAUGCAAUGAGACUCGAGAACGAGUCAUCAAACAAUACUAAACACAACCCCAAUAGGGUUUCACAUGCAUAAGUAGGCAUGAUAGCAAACCAGAAAUUAAUAUAUGGCCUUAACUUAAGCCUCGAUAGAAAAACCGUGUUUGAGCUUAGAAUGCGGUAAUGGCGUAAAUUUCACUACGGUUAUCGGUUGGGGGUGUAAGACCCACCGUUUCGAAGCUAUGAAACAGGGCUACAACAAUGUAGAAGGGCACUCAAUCCAGUUCGUAGCACAACUAGGUCAAAAUGCCAAAAUACUAGCCCAGAAUUCCAAAACAGGUUUGCAAAACACAGAAAACUGUAAUCGGUAUAUCUCAGUCCUUACAAGUCCAAAUGCCGAAAUUCCAAAGGCAUAUGUUAGCUAAGACACUCAGCUACAUUUCAUCAGAAGACACCAACUGCAAAAUCCAAACCAAAACCAGUCAAAAUGGCCAAUUACUAACGCAGUUUUCGCAUUCUGUCCAAAGCAGAACAGCUACAGUAAUUUCGUCAUAACUCAUUCUACACUAAUCCAAAUGACCUGAAAUUUUACAGGCAUCUCCAUCACAUCAAUACCUACAACUUUCAUGUUUUGAGCAAAGUCUAAUUCGGCCUCUAACCUAGUAAUCUAAAACCGGACAGAAUUGGGGACUUUCAAACCCUAACUUGCCAAUUUUCCAUCCAAAUCCAAAAUUAGUUGCAUUUAACCACAUUUCACAUCCACUAGAGCCAUAAUAGUCCAUUGCCAAUCAUCACAAACAACCACACCAUCAUAAUCCAAUUAAACCAGAAAAAUUCCCAAUAAAAUAAAAACUUCACCAUAACAAGCCAAACCAAGAGAUAAACCACAUUUUCAACCACUUAAGCCACUUCUAAGCAUCAUGUAACCAUUAUUGAAGGUAGUAGGGUGUUCAAGCAACACUUACCAAGAGAUCAAGAGAGAGAGGGAUGUAGGACACCUUUGCUCUUCAAACAAAGUUCACCAAACAACUUGCUAGCACUAGAAGGAAGAAAUUUAUGGAGUAAAAACUAAGUUAAGCAAGUGGUUUAGUUGAUUUGAGCUUGGAGUUGGCUAGAAUAUUGAAGAGUUUUGUCUUUCUUCUUGCUUAGGGAGGGCCGGCCAUGGAGGAAGAAAAUGAGAGAAUUUUUGGUGAAUUUUUUUGAAGAUAUUUACUUAUUUGGGUCAAAAGUCAAAAAAAAUGUCAAAAGGUGAAUAGUAACUCUUAAAGUAAGACUAAUGACAUGGUGACAAGUGGCACUACAUUAAAUGCAAUCUUAUCAUUUCUUUUCUCUCUCACAUCAAUCACUUCACACACACUACUUAUCUCUUAACACCCGAUAAAUUUUAAACAGUAUCCGAAACUUAACCUUAUUGGCCGAAUUUUUCCAAACUUUUCGCACUAGUGGGUCCCACGUCCAUUAUUUAUCCUUAAUUUUCUAAAAACUCGCCAAUGCUAGAAAAAUCAUCUUAAAACUAUAAUUGCUCAUAAAAUCCUCUCAGAAAAUAUUUCUAAGCCAGAAAAUGCAAAAUUAUGCAAUUAAAGGGGAAUAAACCCUAGGAAAAUAAUUAGGGUUUUACGGGCUCUCACACUCUCCCCCCUUAAAAGAAUUUCGUCCUCGAAAUUUCUCACCUUAAUUCCCGAAAAGGUUUGGGUAUUUCUUUCGCAUUUCCUCUUCCAUCUCCCAAGUAGCUUCCUCCACUCCGUGGUUUUUCCAUAGCACUUUCACUAGCGGAAUCUUCUUGUUUCUGAGCUCUUUGACUUUUCGAUCGAGUACUUGAACCGGUUUCUCUUCGUAGGCCAGUGAUUCAUCUACUUCGAUAUCCUCCGGUUGUAAAACAUGAGAUGGGUCAGGAUGGUACUUCUUUAGCAUCGAGACGUGAAAUACAUCGUGGAUUCGAGAUAGACUGGAUGGCAGUUCCAAUCGAUACGCGACCGCUCCAACCCUCUGAAGGAUUUUGUAGGGUCCGACGUACCGCGGUUGAAGUUUCUUUCCUUUGCCCGUUGUAAGACUUCGUAAAGGUGUGAUUUUUAGAAACACAUGGUCUCCAACUUCAAAUUCCAAAUCUUUUCUUCGAUUAUCCGCGUAGCUCUUUUGGCGACUUUGAGCGGUUUGGAUCCGUUGCCUUAUCAACUUGACCUUCUCUUGAGCCUCUUCCAUCCAUGGAAUGGUUGCCGGAUCUAGUGCCUUCUUUUCACCAACUUCAUCCCAGUAAAUCGGUGAGCGGCAUUUGCGUCCGUAGAGAGCUUCAUACGGAGCCAUUUGAAUUGACGAAUGGAAGCUAUUGUUAUAUGCAAAUUCGACUAAGGUCAUGUGCUGACCCCAAUUGCCUCCAAAGUCCAGAAUGCACGUUCGUAGCAUGUCCUCGAGCGUCUGAAUUGUUCGUUCCGACUGGCCAUCCGUCUGAGGGUGGUAGGUCGUGCUCAAAUUAAGUUUAGUCCCCAGGGUUUCUUGAAAUUUCUGCCAAAACCGUGAUACAAAUCGUGGAUCCCGAUCGGAAACAAUACUCACAGGUACACCGUGUAGUCUUACAACCUCAUCCAUGUAUAGUCGAGCCAACUUGUCCAUUGAAUACUUCAUGUUCACCGGCAAGAAAUGGGCUGACUUGGUUAAUCGAUCAACGAUCACCCAAACGGCAUCGUGUCCUCUUUGCGUCCUUGGUAAACCUGAAACGAAGUCCAUGGUAAUGUUUUCCCACUUCCACUCGGGUAUCUCCAAGGGUUGUAACAGACCCGAUGGUUUUUGAUGCUCUGCCUUCACUUGCUGGCAAAUGAGACAUUUUUGUACAUAUUGCGCGAUUUCCUUUUUCAUAUUGUCCCACCAAUAGGUUCCUUUCAGGUCUUGAUACAUCUUGCUGCUACCCGGAUGAAUUGUGUACUUAGAUCUAUGAGCUUCCUCCAGAAUUUCUGCUUUCAAUGCCUCAUCCUUUGGUACCACCACUCGGUUUCGGUACUUUAAAAUACCCUCAGGACUCAAAUUGAAGUCCGUAGUUUCUCCCUUAUCCACUUUCUCUUUCCAUUUCUGUACCAUCAAAUCUUCUUUUUGUGCCUCUUUAAUACGUUCCAGUAGAGUGGAGGUAACCCUAACAUUGCCAAAUAUCACCUUAUGGCUCCCUAGACAGGGUUUCCACUCGCACACGGAUUCUAGCAAACCCCACUCCUUAAUCAUUAGCCCUGCUACUUGCACCUUACGACUCAAGGCAUCUGCUACCACAUUUGCCUUUCCCGGAUGGUAAUUGAUCGUACAGUCGUAAUCUUCCAGGAACUCCAUCCACCUUCGUUGCCUCAUGUUUAAUUCCUUCUGGGAGAAAAGAUAUCUAAGACUUUUGUGAUCCGAAAACACUUCGAAGGUCACCCCGUAUAGGUAAUGCCUCCACUUUUUCAGAGCAAACACCACUGCAGCUAGUUCCAGGUCAUGAGUCGGAUAGUUCUGCUCGUGAAGCUUCAAUUUCCUAGAGGCAAAAGCAAUCACAUUCCGGUUCUGCAUCAAAACACAUCCCAAUCCCUCUCGCGACGCGUCCGCAUACACCGCAAACCCGUCCACUCCAUUUGGCAACACUAGGACCGGAGCCAUGGUCAAUCUUUUCUUUAACUCCUGAAAACUUGUUUCGCAUCGGCCGUUCCAGAUAAACUGGCCAUGCUUCUUUGUCAAGUUAGUUAAAGGUCCUGCCAGUUUGGAAAAAUCUUUAAUAAACCGUCGGUAGUACCCAGCUAGCCCUAGAAAGCUGCGAAUCUCCGUGGGAGUUUCUGGCCUCUUCCAAUUUGUCACGGCCUCAACCUUCGCCGGGUCCACCGAAAUACCUUCAUGAGAGAUCACGUGCCCUAGAAAUGCCACUUUCUCCAACCAGAACUCGCAUUUGCUAAACUUGGCGUAUAGCUGAUGUUCCCUCAAGGUCUGCAACACCACUCUCAAAUGUUUCUCAUGCUCCUCACGUGACUUAGAGUAGACCAAAAUGUCGUCAAUGAACACCACGACAAACCGGUCUAGAUAGGGUUUAAAAACCCUAUGCAUUAGGUCCAUGAAGGCGGCGGGAGCAUUAGUCAAUCCAAAGGGCAUAACGGCGAACUCGUAAUGCCCGUAUCUCGAGUUGAAGGCAGUUUUCGGAAUGUCCUCCUUCUUUAUCAAUAACUGAUAGUAUCCCUGUCGGAGGUCCAACUUCGAGAAGACCACUGCUCCUUGCAGCUGGUCAAACAACUCGUCGAUGUGGGGCAGUGGAUACUUAUUCUUGAUCGUCACGUUGUUCAGCCCCCUAUAGUCAAUACACAUCCUCAAAGUUCCAUCCUUUUUCUUCACGAAUAGAACCGGAGCUCCCCAAGGAGACUCACUCUCGUGGAUGAAUCCCCGCUCCAAAAGGUCUUGUAAUUGCAACUUAAGCUCUUUAAGUUCUGCAGGCGCCAUUCGGUAAGGGGUUUUGGAGAUAGGUGCGGUUCCAGGUAAAAGAUCUAUUCGGAAUUCUAUCUCUCUUUCCGGAGGUAGGGCUACUAACUCGUCAGGAAAUACAUCCGGAAAUUCCCUCACUAUCGCCACGUCUUCCACUUUUAACUUAUCCGUAGGGGUAUUAAUUAGAAAGGCCAAAUAUCCUUGCGCCCCUCUACUUAUCAGUUUCCUAGCUCGAAUGCCCGAAAUGAGAGCAGAUGAGGCUAACCUACCCCUUAUAUCUAACCUUAAGGUUGCCUCGCCAGGAAUGCGAAAUUCAACUAUUUUCGUUUUACAGUCCAGUUGGGCGUUAUAUUUAGCUAACCAGUCCAUACCCAAAAUCACGUCGUACCCCUUAAUGGAUAAACUAAUCAAGUCCCCUAAAAACCUCCUUUCACCUACCCAUACGUCGCAAUCCCUAUAAACCAUACUAGUCACCAAACGUUGUUCCCCGUAGGUGUACUAACCUCUAAGUCAUAUGGUAAACUAGCAGGUUUUAUAUCGAUGCCACACAUGAAAUCAGGGUUAACAAACGAAUGAGUGGCACCAGGAUCAAUUAAAACUUUGGCAAAGCGGUGGAAAAUAGGGAUCGUACCUUCCACCACCUCGGAAGAAUCUGGGACCUGAUGGGGCUCUAAGGAAUAAACCCUAGCUGGCACCUUAGGUUUGGACCCGUCUCCCUUGGCUGGUCCAGUGUUAGUCCUCGGCGGUAGCUGACUCCCCUUUCCAUCUUGUUUCAGGACCGGACAUGUAGCCAGCUGAUGGUCCGCACUUCCACACCGCAGACAUUUCCCCAGUUUCCUCCAGCAAUUGUCCUCGGUGUGGUUUGUCUUUCCACAGUGCCCACAGGGACCACGAGGUGCCGAUGCCGAGCCACUCUGGGUGUUCCCCCUUUGUCCUCGCCCAGCUUGGCCGCCCCUGAACGGAGUCCCUCUGCCUGAUCCCGAUUGUCGACCACCUCCUGAUCCUCGUCCAAACUUCGAGGGAGUACUCUUCUCACUUUGUCCAGAUGUACUCCCAGGAAAACCACGCUUCUUGGCCUGGAAGUUUCGGACCUGAAGCCGUGCACUCUCGACCCGUUGGGCUUUUCCAUUGCCUCGCUAAAAGUAGUGAUUUGAGCCGCUGCGAGAUCUUUCUGGAUCUCCACGUUCAAGCCCUGAAUAAAGCGCCUCACGCGUCGUUGUUCGGUCAUAAUUAGUUCAGGCGCGAAUUUGGACAGGCGGGUAAACUGGCUCUCGUACUCCGCCACAGUCUGAGCCCCUUGCCGGAGCCGGAUAAACUCGUCCUCCUUCCUUUCCUGGACUAGAGGAGGGAAAAACUUAGCAUUAAAUUCUCGGAUGAAGUUCACCCAAGUCCUCUGUGUCUGCUCCCGCUCCCAUUUCUGCCUAAUUACGUUCCACCAGGAACGGGCAGCCCCCUCGAGUUGGAACACGGCAAAAGUCACCUGCCGUUCGUCCGGAUAGUGUAAGGCCGCGAAUAUGUCUACCAUCUUCUCCAGCCAUUUCUCGGCCACGUCAGGGUCGGGUCCCCCAACAAACUUCGGCGGGGAAAACUUUUGAAAACGUUCUAGAGCUCUAUCUUCGCUCUCAUUAUGAUGGCCAGGGUUUCCGGGGUUUCCAGGGUUAGGGUUUGGGUUCUGGCCCUGUUGUUGCACUACUUGUGCAAGUAGGUUUGUCAUUUGCUGCAUAGCGGCAGCUAUUUGAGCAUUGGGGUUUAUUUGGGGUUCAGGAAUUGGGCCAGUAGAAGCUUCCCCAGUUUCUCUAACCGGUGUGGGUUGUCUAAUACCGCGCCCACGCCCCCGACCACUUCGUGUUCCUUCCAUAAGGUAUACUUGUUCUAGGCAAGAGUACUAACCAAAGCAGGAGUAAAACAGGUAAGUAACACAUAAACUUUCACAUAACACAUAGUGAUACAGUUCAUACAGGGUCACAAGCACACGUAUAUACAAGCCAAACAUUUAUACAAGCAGUCAGUCAAGUACGGUCAAAGCACGUACGUACACAAAGAUCCACCUGAGGAUAGGCCUAUCAAAAGAGAUUUACACGUAGCCAACUCUAUAUCCAAAACGGUUAGCUAAGGCUCUAUUCCUAUCCCUAUGUACAUUCAAAACCACCACUAUCCAAAAGGUGCCCUAAGAUCAAGGCCUAAUCAGUCGCUGGGGUCUGGGACCCAGGCGAUGGGGUAGACUCCUCCCCAGGCUCGGCCCCAGCACACGAGGCCUCAUCACUAGACUCCUCGAGUCCGUCGUCACACAAAUUAAGGAUCGCCUCAGCGCGACCCCGGACCUUGCGAGCUCGCUUGAGCUCUCGCUCUCGAGCCUCCUUUAAUUGAGCGCAAAGGUCGUCCACUCGAUCUUCGGCCUCAAGUACGUCGUACUCUAACUCUUUAAUUCGCGCAGCUUGCUUAUCAUUAGUUGCCCUAUCCUGAAUAGCAUCGACCUCCAGUCGAGCAUUCUCUCUUGCCAACCCCUUGCGCUCUUUAUCUAGCGCAAACACUAGAGUGUUCGGGUAAGCAUAUCUCUCCUUACACGGGCACCGUCGAAGACGGUUAGACGGGCUCCAACGAAUGACGGCCCCACCCGGCCGUAUCUGAUAGGGGAUCACAGGAAGUACUUUACGAGGUCUAGCCCCCGAAGGACUAGCACUAGUGUCACCCUGUUCGGCCAUCCUACAUCACAAGAACAUGUAGUUAUCAAAAUAAGCUUAAAGGCCAAAAGCAACAAUCCGUAAGGCAAACAAUCCGAUAACACCCAGGCUAAUUCAAACCUAGGCUCUGAUACCACCUGUGACAGCCCCACCUUCCCCUAAGGCGAACCAAAGGGGUUAGCGGACUGCCUGCCCAGCUCUCGCCAGGACUACGGUACAGUUAACGUCGUUCUAUAACGUUCCGAAACAUACCAUUGCGCGCAAACAAGUCAGAAAACACAAAAUAAAAAAAAACGAAAAUUGAAAACCGAAAUGAAUAGUGCUGGACACGCCAGAAUCCGGCCGGAAUCUGGCCGGAUUAGAGGCCGGAUUCUUGGCCGGAUACUGUCCAGUAAGCAUCUCGAAUUUUUUUCAAAAGUUCCACCCAAUCCGGCCGGCAAUCCGGCCAAUAUUCCGGCCGGAUUGUCUGGCCGGAUACCGGCCAGUGAGCAACUGGCCGGGUUUCCAAUUUUUCUCAAUCAAUCCGGCCUUCAAUCCGGCCAGAUUCUGGCCGGAUUCCUGGCCGGAUUCAGGCCAGUGAGCUUUUGCCAAAAAUUUUUUUCUUUUGCCGUUUGAAAGCCGAUUCGCUCCGAAGUUCAUCCAAACAUCAAUUCAACAUAUAAACAUAUAUAUACAAUGGAAAUCAUCAUUUACAUCCAUAAUGGCAUGCCAACCAUUCAUUAAGGAGUACACAUUCGAUUUGCCUAUCAAAAGGAAAUGAACCCGUUACAUUAGGGUUUCACUUCGAGAGCGAUACAAAAGACAUGUACAAGCUCAGUAUGGCAAUUGACUAUCCAGUCCAUUUUCAAAAGCAUUUAUAUUCCUGUAAGGAAAACAAAUAACACGGAAUGAGCCAAGGCCCAGUGGUAUACCACCCAAUAAGCAAUCAAAGUCAUAUAAGAAUGAACCUUCAUUUAAAGUGCACAACUAAGCAAUGAAGCAAAAUGGUAAAAGGAUACGGUCGGCUCUCAAGAGCCCAUUUCCACGCUUGCAAUCUUGAACCAAUCUCAUUGACUCUCCGUCAAUGUUAAAAUACCAAACCGUAGACAACUCUUUACUUCCAUUCCUUCCACCCAACAUACCCCAACCGGGCCCGCACUCCAUUUCAGUAGCUUUUGGUAAUACUCGAGUUUACCGGAACCAAGGGUCUCAUACCACAAGGUUCCCCAGUACAGUCCCCGUGGCAAUUCAAUCUUCACGACCAAGCCCUCGCCGGCUCGAUCCAAUUGACUACCAAACGGAGUUGAGCUCAGUAAUGCAGUAUGGCCGUUGGACAUCGUCCAAACGACAUCAAUUCGGUUUCCAUGAAAUGGAAUUUACCAACCAAUAUAUCAAGUCCAGUAAUGCAAUAAAACGGUAACCAAUCAGUGACAAUAACAAAAGAGGUGAGGGCGGUCAAGUACACCCUCACCCUGAUCAAUUUCAAUAUCCAAGUAGGCCAUUAAGGCAUCACAUAACAUUUAACAAAGCCACAUAGUAAUCCAUCAAGUGAGUAGUAUACUCACCAAGUAAGAAAAUGGUGUUUCAUACACCGUGAUCACCAAGACGCCGUGAGCUACCGUCACGCCCUAGAAUCACACAACAAAUGCAAUGAGACUCGAGAACGAGUCAUCAAACAAUACUAAACACAACCCCAAUAGGGUUUCACAUGCAUAAGUAGGCAUGAUAGCAAACCAGAAAUUAAUAUAUGGCCUUAACUGAAACCUCGAUAGAAAAACCGUGUUUGAGCUUAGAAUGCGGUAAUGGCGUAAAUUUCACUACGGUUAUCGGUUGGGGGUGUAAGACCCACCGUUUCGAAGCUAUGAAACAGGGCUACAACAAUGUAGAAGGGCACUCAAUCCAGUUACUAGCACCACUAGGUCAAAAAUGCCAAAAACUAUACCAGAAUUCCCAAAACAGGUUUGCAAAAGACAGAAAACUGUAAUCGGUAUAACUCAGUCUAUACAAGUCCAAAUGCCGAAAUUCCAAAGGCAUAUGUUAGCUAAGACAUUCAGCUACAUUUCAUCAGAAGACAUCAACUUCAAAAUCCAAACCAAAACCAGUCAAAAUGGCCAAUCACUAUCGCAGUUUUCGCAUUCUGUCCAAAGCAGAACAGCUACAGUAAUUUCGUCAUAACUCAUUCUACACUAAUCCAAAUGACCUGAAAUUUUACAGGCAUCUCCAUCACAUCAAUACCUACAACUUUCAUGUUUUGAGCAAAGUCUAAUUCGGCCUCUAACCUAGUAAUCUAAAACCGGACAGAAUUGGGGACUUUCAAACCCUAACUUGCCAAUUUUCCAUCCAAAUCCAAAAUUAGUUGCAUUUAACCACAGUUCACAUCCACUAGAGCCAUAAUAGUCCAUUGCCAAUCAUCACAAACAACCACACCAUCAUAAUCCAAUUAAACCAGAAAAAUUCCCAAUAAAAUAAAAACUUCACCAUAACAAGCCAAACCAAGAGAUAAACCACAUUUUCAACUACUUAAGCCACUUCUAAGCAUCAUGUAACCAUUAUUGAAGGUAGUAGGGUGUUCAAGCAACACUUACCAAGAGAUCAAGAGAGAGAGGGAUGUAGGACACCUUUGCUCUUCAAACAAAGUUCACCAAACAACUUGCUAGCACUAGAAGGAAGAAAUUUAUGGAGUAAAAACUAAGUUAAGCAAGUGGUUUAGUUGAUUUGAGCUUGGAGUUGGCUAGAAUAUUGAAGAGUUUUGUCUUUCUUCUUGCUUAGGGAGGGCCGGCCAUGGAGGAAGAAAAUGAGAGAAUUUUUGGUGAAUUUUUUUGAAGAUAUUUACUUAUUUGGGUCAAAAGUCAAAAAAUGUCAAAAGGUGAAUAGUAACUCUUAAAGUAAGACUAAUGACAUGGUGACAAGUGGCACUACAUUAAAUGCAAUCUUAUCAUUUCUUUUCUCUCUCACAUCAAUCACUUCACACACACUACUUAUCUCUUAACACCCGAUAAAUUUUAAACAGUAUCCGAAACUUAACCUUAUUGGCCGAAUUUUUCCGAACUUUUCGUACUAGUGGGUCCCACGUCCAUUAUUUAUCCUUAAUUUUCUAAAAACUCGCCAAUGCUAGAAAAAUCAUCUUAAAACUAUAAUUGCUCAUAAAAUCCUCUCAGAAAAUAUUUCUAAGCCAGAAAAUGCAAAAUUAUGCAAUUAAAGGGGAAUAAACCCUAGGAAAAUAAUUAGGGUUUUACGGGCUCUCACAAGACCUCUUGCAAAAAUUUUCUUUGAGGAAUAGUGGGGAUUGAGUUGAUUUGCAUCUGGAGAUGGCCAGUCCUAGUGCGAAUUGACUUGGUUUCCACUUGACGCUUAAGUGAGCCAGUUGUACAUAUUCUCUGAGUUUGAACAUGGGACUUGAGGCUUUAACUAGAAAUCCCAAGGUUGGUUAUUCUUGGAGAUGAAUGUACUUUAGAUAUUGGUUGACUCGCUAAAGAUUUCUUUUAAAACUUUGGAUGAAUGGCCUUUGAUUUCAACUUGUAUUAUGACCUGAUUAGCUCUAAUUUUGUAAUGGCAUACAACUUAAUUGAGACUAGUUUAAAUUCUAUGUUAACUGUGAAUGUGUUAUUCGUGAAAUUGUUAUCUGUGGAUAUAGUUUUAUUGCUCAUUUUGAAAAUUGUUAAAUACACGUGUGCAUAGUUAAUUUUGGUUUAGUGAGCCAUUUACACAUACAUGUAUAGAUUAGUUGUGAGAAUGGAAGCUGGGAGACGACGACGUGGGCGUCAACCCAGACGACCUCAAAAUCAAGGAGGAGAUAAAGAAUCUACCGCCGACCGAAACGCUGAACCUAGGGUUGGGGAAGAAAACCAAAUUGGGUUAGUUUUGACUCGCAUGACAGACAUACUAGAGCGAUUGGUACCCCAACAAGGUCAGGGAAUUGGACAACUGAACCAACUUGGAAACCAAGAAAUAGGGGAGGAUAGGGCUUUAGAGAGAUUUCAAAAGUUUUCCCCUCUUAAAUUUUCUGGGGGUCCCGACCCCGAUAUAGCUGAAAAUUGGUUGGAGAAUAUAAGGAAUAUAUUUGAUGCACUAGAUUAUUCUGAGGAGAGAGAAGUAAACUUUGCUGUGUUCCAACUUGAAGGACCGGCUCGAGCAUGGUGGAAUGUUAUAAGAAAUAAGUGGGAAAGGGAACAAACUCCGAGAACUUGGACGAAUUUUGUCCUAGAAUUUAAUGAAAAAUUCUUUCCACCACUAGUCCAAGAAAAAAGAGAGGAUGAUUUUAUAAAACUUCGCCAAGGAACUUCAAGUGUGGCAGAAUAUGAAACUGAGUUCACGAAACUGUCUAGGUUUGCCCCAGAAUUGGUAAUUACAGAGCGAAAGAGAAUAAGGCGGUUUAUUCAGGGCCUCAAUCUAGAAAUUCAAGAUGGCCUCGCAGCGGCCCAAAUCGAAACGUUUAGUGAUGCCCUUGAGAAAGCCCAAAGGGUUCAGAUUUCAAAAGCCAAAUUGAGAGUUUUUCAAGAACGGAAAAGAGAUGCACCUAGUAGUAGUCACCCUGAGGCAUCUAGAAACACUGUACCACCACCCAAAGUUGGAAAAGGAGCUGGUGGGGUGAGACUAUCACUUCCAUCUUCUUCUCAGAUGCAGCAAUUAGAAGGAACUCCGUCACAAGGAACUCAGAUUAAAAGGGGUCAAUCAAGGACGACGCCAUAGGGAAGUCAAACCAUGAAUUUUCAACCAAACUGUGGAUACUGUGGAAAAGGAAAUCACACUGAAAAUAACUGCUGGGUGAAGGAGAGAAAGUGUUUGCGUUGUGGGAGUGCAGACCAUCAGGUUAGCAACUGCCCAAGAAAGCAACCACGAGAGAAUAAUCAUCGACAAGGAUAUGGAACUACUUCUGAACGAACUACUGAAGGAGGGAACCGACCACAAGUGCCAACUGGAACAUAUGCCUCUAUCGGUCGACAGACUCUGGGGUCGACCGAGGUAGUUGAAGGUAUGAAUUUCGAGGACGAAAUUCUCUUAAGGGGGAGAGGAUGUGAGGACCCAUAUCUUAAUUAUUGCAAAAUAUUUUUAAAUUGGUCAUUUAAAAGUAUUUUUUUUGCAUGUGAAUUACUCAAGUCUUCCCAAAUUGCAUGAAUUUCUCAAAAAUGAGUCUAAACAAUUGAUUCUUUAAACAAUUAUUAUUUUAAGGGUAAAAAAUAAAAAAGCCCCCUGUGAUAAACCUAAUACACAGAAAAGCCCCCCGUGGUUUCAAAAUAUACAACACGACUCCUCAUACUUUGAACUAAAUUGUAAAGGUGACGGAAACCGUUAAACUUAACGGAAAUUGUCAAAAUGACCAAAAUACCCUGAUAUAAUUAAGCAAAAGACAGCUCAAAAAAAUCAUUUGUUUUAUUUUCUAAAUAGAGAGAAUUGAGGGUUAAGGGGUAGAAUUGGUAUAUUUGAUAAAAAAUAGGUAUAAAAAAUUUUUUUUAGGUUCCAAUAAGUCAUUUCCGUUAAGUUUAACGGAUUCCGUCACUUUUACAAUUUAGUUCAAAGCAUGAGAUGUCGUAUUGUAUAUUUUGAAACUAUAGGGGGCUUUUCUGUGUAUUAGGCUUACCACAGGGGGCUUUUUUGUUUUUAACCCUUAUUUUAAUGACCAAAUUUAUUCGAGUUGAAUUAUUUAUGGUGUUUUUGAUUGUUACAUAUACUUGUCGCAUUUGCAUCUUUGACUUUUAAUAAAUUUUAUUAUUGUUGGUUCUUAGAUAAGUAGGUAAAAAUAAGUUUAAAGUCGCAAAUAAAUUAAUUGUGCAAAAUAUUGGGUUAUUUGAAUUUUUGCCAAGUUAAGUUAAUAUUUCUUGACGUAGAGUGUGGUAUUGCUUUAAUAUUAAUUCCUUGAAUUUCAAUAGCUAAUUUUAAGUAUUAUUAAUGUUAGGUGUUAACGGGAACCUAGAAUUAAGGCAAAAUCGUUUUAAGUCAAAACUUUUUAUAAUUACCCGUAGGACGUUGUAUUACGAUAAUUGAAUUUUUUUGCGAGGGUAGAAUAUUAGUAGGCAUUCGAAUUACAUUUGGGGUAAAUUUUGGAAUUAGUUUAGGAUGAGGGACCUAAGUGAAAGAUUGAACAAGAUGCUAAAAGACUAAAACAGCCCUUCUCCAAUUCAAAUUCACCAUGCAACCACCAAAGCUUCCUCGGCCAACCUUAGGAACAAAGCACUUCAAUUUGCUGCCGGUUCCAUUUCCUUUCCACGCUUCAUUAUUCAUUCCAGCACCUUCCAUUGACAUUGCCGACUCAACUCCACUCACAGCACCUCAAUAUAUAAAUGUUCCACCUCUCUCAUUCGCGGCUUAACUACCCACUUCAGCAGCCCAACAUUCCACAACAUUUCCAUCUCUGCCGAAGUGCAUUCCUUUUCUCCACUAACUCACCUCAACCACAACAACACCCUCUGCCUUGGAAUCAUCGAAGUGAGGAAACCAGCGAGGGAGAGGGAGCUGCCAUUCCAUUUUUCACCCUCAACUAGCCGUGAUCAAUUCAGUCACAACCACUACAGCUGCAACCACUGAAUUCAGACUAACCAUCCUCGCGUGCGUGAGCUGCCGAGAGGAAAAAUUGCAGCUGCUGUCCGUGUGAGCUUUUCAUCCUUUUCCUUUCGUCUGUAAACUAGAAAGAGAUUGGGAGCCAUAUUGUCUUCAUACUAGUCGCAAGCUAGAGCAAAGGAGAAGGAGAGUUGCGGACUGAAAUUCUGGACAGCCGAGAGUAGAGGAUUUUUGCAGCUGCUAGUUGCGUGAUUUGAGCCUUAAGCUGAGGUAAUUUCUGGACUUAAGCUAGUUGAUUAUGGGAUGAUGAAGCUGUCUAUAAGCAUGCAUGUGGACUGGUGAGGUUAGAUGAAGAAUUGUGACUUAAGAAAUCUGGUUUGGAAUGAAUUGAAGCUGCUGAAUGUGUGAGCUGGAUUUUUGUAACUUUAAUUAGCUAAUCUGUGAUAAUCUGAGCUUAGAAAUGUGUUUAACUAACUGAAAACAAGAAGUUUAAACCAUGCAUGAAGUUAAUUAGCCGUAUUAUGCUAGAAGGGAAAAAUAAUACACGACUCUGCUUCAUGCAAGCUCAUCCGAGAGCAGUGAACAAAAAUUCUGGUUUUGUGGUUGAAUGUUGUUGAUGACCGAACCUAAUUUGAACUGGGACUGAUAAUUAAUACAUUGAUUAGUCAUGCAUGUUGGUUUUGAGUACCUAAUACAAGGUUUUAGCUGAAGAAAAUCCAGAUUUGCAUCUAACUUAGCUGCUGGAAAUUUUCUGGAAUAGCCGAGAGACUUCAUGUUUGUUUGCAUUUGUAAUUGCUGUCAAAUGGAAAAUUUUGUUAUGAAUUGCAUAUAGAUUGUUAGCUUUAAGUAUUAAGUGAAGCUUAAUGGAAGAAAAUCUGAGGAAAAGUUGAAUUGUGGAUUGAAACCGAGGGAAAUUUUCUGCUGUAAAAUAUUCCAGCUUGGUCGAGAGAAGGAAGUGAGCAUUUAAUUAGUUUUGUUUUCGAAUUUCAAUUCAGAUUUUCGUAUUGGAUGUUUAAGAUUUGCUUGAGGCUUGCUAAUCACCUUUUUCAUGUUGAGCUGAGGUAAGAAUUGAAGAAAACUAGGAACAAAAGCUAUAUAAAUAAACUAUCAAUUGCUGGAAAAUUUUAUCUUAGCUGAUGACAGAUUUAUGGGGACUUUUUGGUGGAAUAAUUUAUUGGAAUUAAGCGUUAUUUGCUUUGGUAUAUGCUGGUAUGAAUGUCAUACUUAAAUUUAUGAUGGUUUGAAUAAGAGUCUUAUGGUUUUAAAAGAGAAAAAGGAGUUUUUCACAAGUGAAAAAUGAGUUUCCAGAUUUUCGGAUUUCUCUGACCAGUCUCAGUAAAAUGCUUAUAUCUUGGUGUAGGAAAAUCCGAUUGAGGUGCCGUCAGUGGCAUUUGAAACUAGAGUCAUGGGCCUUUGUUUUGUAGAAAUUUCAUAUUUUUCCUCCAUGUGUAAUGCUGUCCGUGAUUCCUCAAAGUAGGCUGUCCUGUUAGAAUGUCCUGUUUCCUCAGGAAACUGAAUUCUUGACUUGGAUCGAAUAUUUGGCCUAUUUGUGAUUUGAAUCUCUGAAAAGUGUCUUCUGGGAUGUGAUAGUAUUAAAAAUCUAUUCUACAACAGUAUAAUUUUCAUAAUUGUUUGAUUUGUGGAACAUGAACUAAAGCAAUUUUUGAAGGAAAAUAUUUUCCAGCAUGACCGAACUGGUUGGGACUUCUGGUGAGUUUAUUUGCUGGAUUUGUGUAUUAUUUACUUUAGCUUGGUUUGGACAGAUGAUAAGCUAUGUGUUUAGUGAAUUUAGCAAGUAAAAGUUAAAGGUUUAAUGGACAUCUUGGAUUGAAUUUUGCUGGGUUUUCUUGACUACCGAAUCAAGAAAAGAAAAUCUGAAUUUUAGAACUACUUGAGAGUCAAGUGGGCUGUAGUUUUUAUUCUUAUUUUGAAUGGAUUGGUGUUUGAAGCGAGUAUUGGUUGUCAAGAGCUAAUGAUUGAUGAAGCUCUUGACCAUUCGAAUAGUUUUGCAAUAAUUUAAUUUUUGGUGAAUUGGCUCAAGUAGUUGGCUAAAAUGUGCUUGGAAGUUCCCUGGUUUGCGUUUUGGAUUGUCUUGAUACCUUGGACUUCCUUUGUUGAAUUUUAUUUGGAAUUGAAUCUGUGGAGACCUAGGGCUAAUGAUUGAUGAAGCCCUAGUGAAAUUGAUGUCUGAAUUGUGAUUUAGCUAUUUUGGCAACCAGGAAUACAAUGUGCAAAUAAUUUGAAAUCGUAAAGUCCGUUUUGGUCUGUUGAAUUUGAGUACUUUUAAAUCAAGCUUUGUGGAAUUAUUUUAUCUUACUAUCAAGUUAUAGAGAUGGAGAAUAGCGCGUUAAUAUUUAAAAUUUAAAUGAAAAGUGUAGAAAACUUGCUCGGCAAGGAAACAUGAUUCUUUUUCACUUAUACUCUAGUACUUGAGCUUUUAUUGAAAAUUUUCUAGUACGAACACAUUUUUCACCUUCUCGAUUUCCGUGCCAAAUUAAGCAUUUUACCCUUCUUUUGAAAUUGAUAGUCCUUGCCACGAUUUAUCUCGGAAAUGGGACUUUUAAAUUCCUUUUGGUUUUAUACCAAUGAUUAAGUUAAAACUUCCUAUUUCAAUUUGUUUGAGCUUGAGGCUUGAGUGUGUGUAUCUAAGAGGUUUUCUUUAUUCGCCUUAAUCGAGCAUCUAGGUAAUUUGUAUUUGUGAUUAAUCUCAGGUGAUUCAGAGGACACCGAGAAGCUCUUUUAAUUUCCUGCUUUUGCUCUUGCUUUGCUUCGGAUUACGGUGAGGGAUUCCAAACUGUUUUGCACAAAAUUGCUUCUCGAACUUGUAUAACCACUGUUUGUAUAAUUGCUUAUAUAUAUAUAUAUAUAUAUAUAUAUAUAUAUAUAUACGUGGUGUGACUUGAUGAAUGCUUCUUUCAUGCCUAAGUGGUCUAAUACUUGAUGAAUCUUGUUCAUUUGAAUGAAAAGUAGUUAUUUCUAGGCGAGUGUGUACUUUAUCGCACUCGACCUAACUGUUGCUGUAUUGCUUAACUGUUCAAUAUUUCAUUGUUUAUAUGUUAUUUGCGUAUGCUGUAGGCCAUGUGUACUUUAUCACAUUGGCUGAACAAGGCCUUUUCCCCUUCGUUAUCACCUAUUCGAGCCAGAAGCGGACUCGGUCGGAUAGGUUGAUAACCCUGGGCACUGUAUUUUGGUAUACUCGAGUAUUACCACUGGAGGGAUAAGGUGAUGGCCAGUCAACCGAAGGAGUUACCAACGGGAGUUAUAAGGACGGAAGUGGACCGAGUAUUGUAUCCUUUUGUGUUUGCUUUACUAUUAAUACUGUUAUUGCUCUCCUAGUUGACAUUUCUCGGGUAAGACUCCUCAUGAGCAUUAAUCUCUGAGACGAAGCAAUCCUUGUAAUGUUCUUCUAGUCGGACGAGCCACUAUUUGUUUGACUAAAAUUCAUGAAAAUAUAUUUAUGUGAUCAUGCAUUCCAAAUGUACGUUAGUGGUUUUUAAAUGAUUUAUGAGUUGUACUCAGAACAAAGUUGCCAACAAAAGUAUUACUUCUACAUGUGUUUCCAAAGUAACGCUUACGCACUGGUUUAUAAAUACUUGAUUUUCCCUUUUGAAACCUCAUUGAGUUUUAGCUCACCCCCAAAAAUAUUUUAGUUCUAUGCAGGGCUCGAGAAGGAUAGUUACUCAAGCGCAAGGAUUUGGAGUACCGUGGAUUAUCCUUUAUGUGGAUUGUGAUUGAUUUUCUUCGUGAAGUGUAAUGGUUGUUUUGAAAGAUUUGUGAAACUUUUUGGUAUGAUGUACUUGUGGUUGAAGUGAAUGUAAAUCUCAUGAUAUUUUGGGGAUUAUACUUUUGUAAGAAUGAUUUGAAUUGCAAACAUAAGGAUUGUACUUAAGUUAUUAGUACGACAAUUUAGAUGAAGUAUUGGACUUGUACUUUGGUGUGUUGGACUGGUGGAUAUAUUAUACUCCGUUUGAGCUUUUAAGAACCAUCGAUUAUAUUCAUGCUUGAGUUUUGUAGUGAGUCCCGGCGAGAGUUGGGCAGGCGGCUGCCGAACCCUUUGGUUCGCCUUAGGGGGAAGUGGGGUCGUCACAGACGCCUCAGCCAUAGGUUUCAAAAGGACUAAUAUUGCAAUAUGAUGGAGUCGAAGUAAGGCUCGCAAGCGACGUACAGAAGAUCUGUUCAUCGCUCCCCUGAUGUUCCAAAUAAGGAGAUUAUGCAUUAGAGAUGGAGUGAGACGAUACCUCAACGGUUUUAGAAGCCUGGCGUGUUAGAAUCUGCCGAGGCAGCGGGACAUGUGCCCUCCGCUUCCUCGGCUUCCGCGAUAAAACCAUGGUGAAACCGUCCGCAUCUUACUCGCCCAUUGGCUUGGUCAGUUGUGAUCCCAAGGUUGCAAUGAACUGUUGCAGAGAGCAGGUCAGUUUCGCUCUACUGGGCACAGGGCUGCGGGGCAGCUCCUCUCCAUUCGAAAGAGAUCCAUGAGUGUCCGUCCUCUCCUGUUCGUGAAAACGAAGCUGAGUAUCAUCGCAGAUACUGCCCAGCGCUGGCGUGAAGUCUAAAGGGGCCUCCUGUUGUUGCCCCAAAGCAGCAAAAGCCUCACGUAUCUGCUGCGUCGAACCCACAGUAGCGUAAGGGAGAGCGGCCUCCCGCAGCUCUUCAUGUGGUUGGGCUUCCCAUCACCGAGCCCGGGGAGUUCAAUCGAUGGGCCAACGGUGCCGAGCGCUACAGCAGCCUCUCGGUCGAAAUUUUGGGGUUGGGUAGCAGUGGGCUCCGUUGUCAGUUCAUGGCCACGCUGCUCAGCCAUGGUAGGUGCCUCCUUUUGCUGUGAAACGGGGACAAGACAUGGUGCGCCACCACGCUCACCUUUUGCACGCCUACUACAAAUGGAACAAAACAGAGGAAGAUUCUCGCAAAUUACUUGCUGCCAGAAACCCUGCCUGCCAACCCCUAUCCAUACGCGGCUGGGGAGAUCCUUGGAGACAUCGAUAUCGAUGCAGAUCCUGGCCACACUAGGCCAGGCUAAGGUAGCCGUUGCUGCGUCGAUCUUUAAGGGAGUGCCAAUAGCGGCAGCAAUGGAGAACAACGAACUCUUGUCAAAGAAGUGGAUGGGCAAUUGUUCCAAGGAGACCCAUAAAGGAGCACGAGAGGGCUCGCUGUUGAGCUGAAAAUCAGGGGACCACUUGAACACACGCAUGGGGAAAUCAGCGAUGGUCCAGCAUCCCUUCAACCAGCAUCGCAGAAAGUCUUCCUCCAAACAAAACCGAACCAAGAUAUGGUGGUGGUCUAGAAGGCCAAUAGAGAAGGUCGAGUGGAAGCCAAUCGUGGCGAAAGCUUUCCGUAUUGUGUCCAGAUUUGGUCUCCCAUGGGAGAACUUCCCUACGAUAGCAAACUGGAACGGCGCCGCCAGCUUGACAAUAUCCUCCUCAUUAGAACAAGACUGCCGACUCGCAUUUGAAUUGAGAGAGUGGCUUCACUUUACAUGGAGAUAGGGACGGCUAGUCCUGGAGAACCUCAGUGAAUGAACGACUUGCACCUCCUUUGGACUGGAGGUCAGCCAUGGAGAAACCCUAACUUGCCAAAUUUAGAAGGAGCCCAAUAAAUAAUAUAAUGAAUCUUUGUGUUAAUGUUUGCUUGUUGAUUUUCUACCAUUGUAACAUGCUUAAUUGUACUUACAAUUCACAACUGUCUCAAAUUCUUGAACAUUUUUCCCUUUGAUUUAACUACAUUAUUUAGAUUAGCUUCCAAAGAUUCAUGAAAACAUUUAUUUCUUUCAAAAUAUAUUAAGACUACUCUUACUCAGUGAUUUAGAUUAUUUUAAUAUCAAUACUUUCUGUUAUUUAGCUCUUUCAUUUACACUAAUUCAAUAAGCGAGUAAUCUAGCAAGUAGUUUGUCAUAAGCACUACCUUUUGAGUUAGGUGUGAAUGAGUUAGAUUAAUUCUGAUUACCCUAAUAUCAAUUCUUUCGAAAUAUAUUAAAAUUAGUAGUUUGUCAUAAGCAUUAGUUUUCGUUUUCACAUCUUUUCAUCAAUAACUUGAAUUAGAUUAAACUUAACUGCAUAUGUAUAUUUUAUCCUUAUGCCAUUACUUGAUCAUUAUUAGUCACCAAUAUCUAUUGUACUUUGCAUCACUAUAAAAAAAGGAUAUUAAGUCAAAAUUUGUAUUGCAUAUAUGAGUAAUUUCAAUUUUCUUCUACUGAUCAAGUUUCAUUAAAGUAGACGACAACUAACUUUCAAAUAUUUGGAAACUGUAUAAAAGUACCAGUAGAUCUUUCAUUUUCUGAAUAACAUCCCAUAAGUCUGGUAGAUAUUGAGUUUACAAAUAAAUCUCAUAAAACUAACAUUUCACAAAAUGAAAUUACUAUACUCACUAUCGACUCUAAAUCAUAGCAUGUCCAUAGCACCAGCAUACAAAUAUGUGAAAUUCUCCUUCUACGAUUCGGUUUCUUUCUCGCCAUCUUUAUAUUGUGAAUGCUACAUUACCAAAAUCAAAUCAUCAUGAACUUGUAUCAUGAAAACCCAACGUGAACAAAUUGUUAGUGAAAACAUUCAAAUAGAAACCUUUGAUAUGCAUGAUGUCAAUACAGCUCACUUUCAUCUAUACACCAAAGCAACUAACUAAAAUCUUAAUGAUAUUUUGUAUGCUAAUAAAAUUGAUCACAAGUACUUAUGGCUGAUCAUCCAUUCACCUCCUGGGCAAUAACUACUACACUAACUCCCAAAAGGAAAAGAGUACACAAAUACUACCUGAUCACAGUUCUGGGGCAAAAAUCAUUUCAACUCUUUAAUAGCUUGAGAAAAUCUUGAACCCUUUCCCACCAUAGUUUCCAAAUAAUUUUUAUCAUUCACACUUGACCAACCAAUUCUUCACUCUUUUAAAACAAACCAUUGUUUCAAUGAUUUUGGCUGCACAAAACGCUUUGCUUGACACAAGCACAAAUGUCUAAGGAGCGCAACCAUGCUAUUUUGCAAUGUGGUUCACAAAAAAAAUAGAAACUAGUAAGAACCUGCACCAAAUUCAUUAUCAUAUUCGCAAUCUCAACACAUUAAAAUAAAUAACAUUUAUGUAGAAUUCGAAAAUUCUACUAGAAAAAUAUGGGAGAUAUAUUUGAUAAAAUCAAUGUAUAUGGAGAGGCAAUUUACACACAUAAGAAUAUGUGUGGAAGAACAGAAAUAAUAUCAAUAAUAAUCUAUUAAUCCCAUCAUAAGAACAAGACUCUCAAUCUUCCACUCUUCUCAACUGAACACAAUAAUAUGACUCCUUAUUUAUAGACUAAAUGACUUGAUAAACAAGUCUUACACCACAAGAAAUUUCCUAAUAAGAUACUAAUUCCUAAAUAAUAAAACUAUCAUAACUUGACUCCAAUAGAAUUACUAAAACCCUAACUUGACUAAAACACUACUAAAUAAUAAUAUGAAAAUUUCUAAUUUUGAGUCUUGAUUUAAUAUGCCAACAUUGCCUCCCUCAAAUCAAUCUGUCUUGGAUUAGAUUCACCACCAUCACAAUCAAUAAUCUCCGCUCUCUCUUGGAUCAGGUUCACCAUCAUCACGAUCAAUAAUCUACCUUGAUUCUUGCUGCUGCAAUAUUCCACACACCUGUAUAGAGUCGUUCAACUUAUUUUCCACUUGCAAAAAUAAUCCAAGCUUUUGGAUAGACUAUUUUCGUCACCCAAUUUGAUGUCAACUUAUUGACAAUUCACUUUGUGAUUUUCAUAAUCACAAUCUAACUGAUAGGAUUCUUCUUCGAUCUCUGUCGUAACAUCUGCAAUCAAUCAAUCUGACAAUUCUCGAACCAAUCUCAUGGUCCAGUCCUCACAAACUAGCCACUUCAUGACCAAUCUUGUGGUCUAACUCGAUCAACUAAUUUCUUCACAACAAUUUUAUACUCUAACUCUCAUAAUGGAAAAUAGCCACAAUUAACCCUCAUAAUCGGGUCAAUUUUUCAAUGUCUAUAGGCACCCCAAGAUUAAUUUCUUGAAAUUAGAGUUCUGAUACCACUUUAUAGGACCCAAACACUUCGCUCCAAUGGCCUUUUUACCAAUUGGAAGAGAAGUAAGUUCCCAAGUGUCAUUCUUCUCUAUUGCAUGAAUUUCUUCCUCCAUUGCUUUCACCCACCGAUCAUCAUUGGCUGCUUCCUCAUACACAACUGGGUCACAAUCUGCAUACAAAGCAAAAUUAACAAUAUCUUCAUCAGAAGAAAUAUCAUCUGCUGUAAUAACAUAAUCCUGCAGACAAGCUGGCAUCUAUCGCUGAUGCUAGGGAUGUUCAGUUAACUCAGUUUGUGGACCCUGAGCAACUGUGAUGGCUGAAUAUCAUAAUUAUCCUCCUCUUACUGAUAAUUUAGAGUCACUUUUGCUAUUUCAAGAUCUCCAGUAAACCAAUCCCAAACACUUCUUUCGUCAAAAGUCACGUCUGUACUCACUAUCACCUUUUUUGUCACAGGAUUAUACAACCUAUAAGCCCGAGAGACUUCACUAUAACUAAUAAAUACACACUUCUCCCCCUUAUCAUCAAGUUUCUUUCUUAAUUGAUCAGGAAUAUGGGAAUAGGCAAUACACCCAAAAACUCUGAGAUGACCAACAAAUGGUCUUCUACCACUCCAAACUUUUUUAGGAGUUUUUUCGGGAAUACUUCUGGUAGGACACCUGUCUAACAGAUAAAAUGCACAAGAAAUUGCCUCUGCCCAAAAUGAUUUUGGCAUAUUUUUCACCUUCAAUAUAUACCUCACUAUAUCCAUAACUGUCAUAUUCUUCAUUUCUGCCACUCCAUUUUGUUGGGAGUGUAUCUGGUAGUCAACUAAUGUUGUAUCCCAUUUUUCUCAAGGAAGUCCACCAAAGAGUCCAAUAUAUAAGUCAGAAACUCAACUCUAACCCAAAACCUUAACUUAUUAGGUCUCGGAUCCUUACUUACAUAUUAAGUAUUCUUUCUCUGUCUCUCGGACUAAUGUGGGACAUAACUUUUACUCAUAAAUCUAACAAAUUUCCCCCUUUAUGAGUAUCGCCUCAUAUUAAACCCAAAUUUACAAAUCCUUUUUCGAACCCACUUUAAUACUUAACACAAGUCUACCUUAUCACGUAAGGUCACCUCUUUUCCCAAACAUGGACCCACUCUUUUUCAACAUCUAAACUGCAUUCUGGACCCUUGCCAACCUUAACUCCUUGAUCUAACACCAACCGGACCCCUUGCCAAACCCGUGGUGCAUCUGGUCCAACACUAGCCAAGCCCCUUGGCACUUCGGUCCAAUAUCAAGAAGAGAAUUUUUAUCGAUCCAACUCCGAGAAGAAUCCACUUGCGCAUGAGUAACCUAGUCUCACAAUUUAGAACUCUGAUACCAAUUUGAUAGGAGAAAACACUUCGAGAAAGCCUACCAAAGAGGCUAAUAUGUAAGCUAGGAACCCAACUCUGACCCAAAAUCUUAAACUAUUAGGUUUCGAGCCCUUACUCACAUAUUAAUUAAGUACUUUUUCUCUGUUUCAAUGAAGGUGCUUCAAUAACUCCACCUGCAUCUACUAACAAGUGAUCACAGUCUCCCAAAUAAUUUCACACAAGAUUUGGCUUUUACAGCAUUCUUCCAAUGCCUUACUCUUCCAGAUAUAGAGAAAGUGGUACACAUCCUAACCAUCUAAUUUCUCAUACAUUUUCUUAUCUCUCGCUGAAUUUCAGUUACAUAACAACCAUCUGACUGAAGGUUGGAGUGAAUUUGUUAGCGCAAUUAAUGCACAAGUGAAUGAUACGCUCUUCUUCUUCCCAACAUCAACGAUAAACUAUCAAGUGAUGAUAUUUGCUGAAAAUGGAACAGAGAAGUAUAACUUCAAAGACACGAUAAUGGUAUUGAAAUCAUACAAAUUCAAAGGUAGAUUCCUCUUCUGAUUUUCGACUCUCAUGAACUUCAAAUUACAAAUUUUCUACAGUUUAUCUUUGCACUUUAAAUUUAAACAUUAGUAUUCAAAACAUUUUAUGUAUGAUAUAUCAGCUUCUUAUAUUAGUUAACGGUAUUUGUUAGUGUCUUUGUAGCAUUUCCAAAGAUAUAAAUUGUCAAAAUCUAGCAACCAAUUACCAUUUGCACAAAUAAUAUCUAAAUAUUCAAGCUGAUGUUUUCACUAAUCAACCUAUUUAAUACUAAUUAUUUAAGUAAACAUUAAGUUUGAUGUUUUCAGACUUAAUACUAAAAAUAAUCUUGCAAAAGACAAAAGUAUUUACAGAUACUAGAAGUAAUAUAUAAUUAAGUACACACAAGUGUAUGAUACUACACAAAGGAAAAAUAUUUUUCAGAGUUAACAAAAAAAAAAAAAUCAUUAACAAAUAGUCAUACUUAACUCAUCUCUCAAUGAAGUAAGAUUAAAUUCAAACAAAAAUAAAUCUCGGUAUAAAUAAUAACUAUACAUUAUUGCAACAUUUACUUUUAAUUUUUUAUCGCAUUUUAUAAUUGUUUGAUUACUCGCUAUACAUUUUAUUGUUAAAAUUACAUUUGCAAAAACUAAAUAGUUACUAGAAAACUAAUAAGUUAAUUUUGUUAGAGAUGAAUAAAUAUGCAUAUAAGGUUAAAGGAAAAUAAAUUUCAUUUGCCGUACCUUUAAACUUAAAUACAGGUGUUCUAAUAAUUUUGACGAAAUGUAAUCAAUAAAUUGCUUAAUAUUACAUUUUAAAAUUUCAUGUCAAUUAAUAUUACAUUUUAAAGUUACAUGUCAAUUACAAUAUAAAAAAUAUAUGCUUUUUAAGUUUAAUCUUAAAGUUACAAGCUUAAAAAUAUUACAAUCUUAAUUUUUAUGUUACAAAGUUAACAAUGCUUGAUAAAUUUCACGAAAGGUAAUGAAUAAUUACUUAAUAUUAUGCUUUAAGUUACUUGUCAAUUACAACCUCAAAAAUAUAUAUUUUGAAGUUUGUUAAAGUUCAAACUAAAAAUAUUACAAUCUUAGUUUUUAAGUUAUGAACUUAAAAUUAAUAAAAUCUUAAAGUUAUAGUUUUAGUGAAUAAUCUUAAAAAAUACAUUAGUUUAGAUUGUACUGUAUCAAGAAUAUCCAAUUAUAAAGCAUGAAAAUAUAUUCACUCACAUUUUGUUGCAUCAAUUUUUUUUUGUUACUCUUCAUUCUUAUUAUACACAAAUGAACUACACAUAGACAAAAAGCCUAAAACAUGUUAUUUAUAUUGGAAAGCAAAAACUUCUCCAAAAAAAAAAAAAAAAAUCUCGGUCUUUCGACCAUUAUGACGCUCUCAUAAUUAUUCUUUUAUAGAAAGUUCUUUAACCUAGCAUUGCUCUAUUUAAUUGUCAAUGCAACAUCAACUUAAACUACAGACUUCUUUAACCUUCAAAGGUUUUACUACUAAAUUUGACAAUUAUAUUUUUAUAGUGGGUGGGCACAGCCGGCCUUUACCAGUAGACACAACAAUUUUUUGAUUUUAUGGGAAAUAAUCUUGUACAGAACUGCAUUGCAGUAGUCCCACUUUUAUAAGGAAACAAAAGCCAUCGUGGAGGAUUGCAUUGGCGAGUCAACACAAAAUGCACUUUUUUUUUUAAUCUAAUCGACAACUGUAUUACUCAGAAAUGAACUCACAGUGAAAAUCAUUUGUUCAUUUUUACGUGUUCAAGCUUCAAAAGUUUUAGAAAAUUAGCUUUAAUUUUCUAAAAUUGGCAAAUUCUUUUUGAACAAAACUUAGUACAUAGUAACAGAUAAAUGAUCGCGAAUUCAACUAUUUAGGGGCCAAUGUGGAGAUGAAAGGAAAUAUAGAGAGUAUAAGGAGUUCCAUAGUAUGAUUCAACAGAAAACUUGUACAACCUUAUGUGUAAUCUCCUUCACAAGGGGAUCCACACUUUGGCUUCCACCUCAGUUCAAUGUGGCUCCACCAAUGGACAUGAAGCAUUAUAAGAGUGAAAAUCAUGCUAUGGACCUGUGAAAUUGAAAAUUGUGAGCGCAUAUGGGAUUCAACUAUCAGUCUCAUGAUCCACUCUGACACGUUGCCCAUCAUAGAAUUCUGUCCCAUAAGAAAUAAUGAAUACAAAAUAUCGAACCAUAGAAGUGAUGGGUAAAGAUUUUAAGGCACUUUCUGGAUAGAACCUGUAUAAAAGAUUAGGCACAAAAAUGCGUAAAGUAUCCGUUCAGUAAGCAUAAUUUGCCCCAAAAAAAAUCAAAAUCAAAUUGCAUAAUAAACACAAAUUUUAAUUAUUUUUUAUUUUACAUAUAUUACAUCAUAAAAAAUACUAUUGUAUUAUUCUAAACAAUUUUUUUUUAAAAAAAAUAAUCUUCUAUCCAAACACACUAGUGUUUAUAAAAUCUUUAAGAUCGACAACAAGAACUCACGCAUUGCCACAAAAACAAACUAAGGCCAAAGCCGUGUGCUUAGCACUUGUUCCAAUGCAUGUGCGUACUAAAAUGUUGAAUCAUUUCUUUUAACUAAACAAAGACGAGUUCUUCCCACUUCUAAGAAGAUGCCAAACGUGGUUGUCUCAAGCAUGCACUUUCAAUAUGCGAACCAGCUAUGCUAUUUGAGAGUGGCAUCAUAUUUUCCACUUCCACAUUUUGACUUUGAAAUGAUCUGUCCUCUUAUAAUUCAUUUUCAAUUAUUUCAGUCUAUAAAUUUUUAAAUUUAUUAAUGCAACUUGAUCAACAGCGUCCACAAAGCUCAAUGCAUGGUCAAGUGCUAAUUUUUUUUUGAAAAUGAGUUGGUUCGACCUUUUGUUCAUCCAUCUUGGUAGGGUGACAAAAGUGUAUAAUCAUCGUUUAUCUUGUCUAAAUCAGUUAAUUUGUCUAACCAAUGCUCAAGCACAUUUUUGCCGUCUUGUCAAUGAAACUGUACAUAUGUGGAGGGAAAAAAGCUUCUUUAAUUAAUAAUUAACGACAAGUCAAAUUUAGAUUAAAACAAAUGUAAGAUCCAAGAACUGUCAAAUUGUGGGGAAUAUCAAGAUACGGUAGUUGCUAUUUCCUUAAAAAGCAUUUGUCUUAGAAGUGGUGAAGCUGCAAAAACAUGGAACCCUUUUGGUACGCGCUCCAUUUCCAUGGGAUCAGGCGGUUAGUGGAAGAGAGGGUUGUGCAUGCUUAAUUCUAUGGACAAAGCGAUUGGUAACUCGAUCAAUUCGACCUUUUUUAUAUUCUUUUAAAUUCAUUGACGUGGAUCAAUUUACUUUUCCAUUAUAAGAUACAUAGGAUCGAGCAAUUUUUAUCAGUUCAUUAUCGAUUAGUACUUGAAGCAGUGGUGGGGAAUACAUAUCUGACUUGUUGGAGCACAAGCUGGCCACUGGUUUUGUUGUUAAUAUGGUAAUUCAUGGUGAUUAAAGCUUCAAUUAUUGGCUAUAGUUGCACAUCAUCUCCAAAGUUUAUAAAAAAUCAAGCUAAUUCGAGUAUCAGAAGCCAUUAUCAUGUUCCUAAGAUAAACAUGUUAUUUUUCCAAAGCACAAGCAAAUGGAGAGGGUAUAUUUUCCACUUGGUUAGUGUAACUCUAGAAACAAGCAGAAUCAUGUCUGUUUAUUGGAUGAAAGAUCCACAUUUGCCAUUAGUGAUUGACUAAGAUUAGAAUAUUGGGACACGUUCUAGAAAAGUGUAUUUGACAUGCAAAGGGAUAAAGAGUUUUUUUUUUUUUUUUUAACUUCAACAUAAACUUUCCCACUAAAUCCUAAGAGUCAUAAAGAAAGUUCCAUGCACCACAAUCAAGACCUUUCCCCAUACAAAGUGAAGCAAUGUUGUGAAGGCACAUCAUCCACAAUGGAUUGACUUUUGUGUGCAGUUUUUAAUCUUUAAAUUUCUAUUUGACAAAUUGUAAUCCCUACUUAUACUUUUAAAUUUUUGAGAUACAGAAACUUGUGAAUGACUGAUGUAUCAAUAUAUUUUACGACAAUUAUUGUGUUAUUUGUGCACUUUAAUCUACAAAUAUGAAGCUUUAGUGCACAAUUUGGUAUAUUAUAUCAAUGUGCAUGGCCACUAAUGGGCAAAUUAGUAACAUGUCAACCUGAGAACAAGUGCCAUGCAAUUAACUAGGAUUAUCAUAUUGAUUUUAUUGAUUAGGUGGAAGAAACAGUAGAUCAACUGUUUUCCACUUUUUACCAUCGUCUGAGUUAUUUGUUCCAAUCAUUUGCACCUAUAAAUACAUCCCAUUUUGCAUAGUUAGAAAACAGUCACUUCCAAACAUAUUUCACAUCUUAUACAAAUUCUAUUUCCUUCUAUUGCUUGAACAUAUUAGUCUUUUAGGUCGAUGCUGUCGCUGCAAUCAACUUCAAAACCAGGUCAUAUGGCUACUCUAAAUUUGUUUCUUGUGAUAAUGCUAUUGAAUAUAUUAGUCAGUGGAUGGAGAAUUGGAGUAGAUGGCCUGAGCAUGGGCUACUACUUAAUGACUUGUCCAUUUGCCGAUGGAAUUGUGAGAAAUACUGUCAAUAGGGCUCUGCAAUCUGAUCCC
rnacentral:lncRNA from 1 species